AGAUACUCCAAAUGUUGAAGCUUUCCAAUGGCUUUUGGGACUCUCUCCACUCUCGUACCCCAUAGGUCCAGAUGCUUGAGAUGAAACAUCUUGAAAAUCUCAUUUGGUAUUUCCUCCUGUGUCUCUUGACCUCUCAAAUCCAAAACCUUUAACAACUUGCUACUCCCUAAAACUUCAGAUAACAACAUUUUGGAUAGUAGCGGGCUUAUGGAUUCAAAUGUAACGAACGACCGAAGGUGGUCAAAGCAAUAAUUUCGUCUUUGUUGGUGGUGCGGGGUGUUGUUACUGCUACCACUAUGGACUACUAGACGGCGUACCUUAUCAGUCGGCCACAUCAUCGGCUGUCCAGUAGUAACUGUCACCAUGUUUUGUUCCCUUGACUUGAGAAGAAUAACUUCUCUUAAUAGGUCAUGGAUUCGACAAUAUUGAGGUAUUCCUUCAAAAAACACCUUAGUCACUUGAAUUAGGCUUCUAUUGACGAGUUCAAUGAGAUAACUCCAAGCUACAAUUGCAAAACUCAUUCCUUCCCUCCGUUCCACAUACCUUUCAGCAAUCCACAAAUGAAUUAGUCUAAUGCAUGCUAUUUCAUAAUCCUCUGGGAAGAUGCUUGUGUACAACAGACAUGUCUUUAAAUGCCCAGGCAAAUCAUUAUAACUGAGAGAGAGUAUCUUUUUAACUCUGUCCAGCUUACCCGUGCCUUCUAAUUCACCCCCAAGGCUGCGUCGAACCAUCUCCCAUUCGUCUAUUCUGUUUACAUCUUUUGAAGCCAAAAGCCCGCUGAUUGCAAGGGGCAAGCCCUCACAUUUGUCCAAUAUACCUUUGGAAACAUCCAUCAAAUGGCCAGGGCAAUUACCACCAUUAAAGAUCUUGUUGCAAAACAGGGUCCUCGAAUCCUUUACAGAGAGUGGCUCCAUUCUGUAGACAAGACCCCGAGAUUCAAUGCAAGAGGCAGAGGCUACAUCAGCUCUUCGAGUUGUUAGCAUGACACGGUUGCCGUGGCUACUCUCGGGCAGUGCAAAUUUGAUGGUAUUCCAAAAUUCCACGUCCCAUACAUCAUCAAAAACAAUCGCAUACCUUCCAGCUUGUUGAAGAAAAUCUUUGACAAUUUUUUUCAGCUCAGUGGUAGUCAUAGACUCUAUCGAUUGUGGGACUGGUUUAUUCCCUUCCUUGUGUAACUGCUGAAUCAAGUCUUUCAGGAGGUACUGAAAGUCACAUGUUUCAGAGACAGUUACCCAAGCACGAACUGGGAAAUGCCUUCUGACUUCAGGAUCCUCGUGGACUCUUUUCACUAGGGUAGUUUUGCCAAGUCCUCCCAUACCAACCACUGAAACAACCUUUAGUUGGUAAUCAUCCCCUCGGAGGAGCUCAGGAAUAAGACGUUUCUUGGGCUGGUCAAUGCCAACUAAUUUAGCUUCUUCCACAAGCAGUGCGUCAUCUCUGCUAUAGCGCCAUGUUGUGUUGUUCACAGCAGAAAGUGAGUUGGACGCUUGGGCAGAGAUACCAUAUUCGGAUUGGUAUCUUUGAUGACCUUCAGAAAUACUUUUGAUUCUGGACUUGAUGCUUUGUAUUUCGCUAGCAACUCGAUGACGAGCUCUCAAAUUCUUGAUGGAGCUGAAAAUUCUCCGAACAGAGCCGUAGAAUCCUGUUGCGCGAUGCCGAGCAAAGCGAGCUACAAAUUCAUCAAGAAUGUCCUCAGUGUCAUAAGCAGCAUCUCGCACUUGCUUGAUCCAUUGUUGGAGCGUGGGUUGAGCAUCUUCUUCUCUUGCUUCUGCCUCUCGCAGGAAAGCUCUCAUUUGCUCCAACUCAUCCAUGAUGAAUUGGACCUCUUGCCGAAGCCCUCCCAAUAGUCGUCCCUCCUCGUGCAGAAAAGUUGAGAGUUGAUCCAGCACAAAAGAGAGAACAGUUUCUGCCAUUUUUAGUCUUUCUUUUUAACCUAAGAAUGUCGGGGGAGGCGGCUUCUGGUUUAUAGGACAGUCCAGUUGUAGUAUCUUGAAAGGAAGAAGGAAGAGGAGGUUAUAGAUUCAUAAGCUGAUGAACUUCGAUGCUAUAUGGUGCAGUAUUUAUCAAAAAGAAAAAGAAAGAACUAACUGUGGGUCCUUUGGUCGGAUAAUAACAAAGGAGCAUCGUUCAACUACUGCAAAAUGUUCUAUUAUAUGUGCCACAAUAACUCAGGCCCUUCUUUACAAGCGGAAGGAAUAAAGUUAAAACGCCGUCGGAUUGGACUGGACAUUAUUGAUUUCUUUGACGAAGAAAUAAAACUACUGCAAAAUGUUUUGCUCCUCCUGCUAAUAUGUAUAACCUUCCUUCCUUCCAUUGACUAUCACUUGAAUUUUUUAGUCUCAUUACUUGUGUGUCAACUAUUAUUUGAGAAUCUAAUAUCUCUUUUGAUUGGGAAUUUUGAAAAAUAAAAUAUCAUGUAAGUCUAAAAACAAACCUAAUAUGUCUAAUAAUUUUUUAUACGACCUAAAAUUGUAUUAGUUUGAAAACUAACGAAUUAUUUUUCAAUUAUUGUAACUGAUUUCAGAGGACUAAUUUUUUGUAAACUUUCAUCCUAAGUACGUAAUGACAUUUGUGUCUCUAUAUCCACUUUAAAACGUACACGUAAACUAUGUAAAUACAUUUUUUUUAUGUUCAAAUAAAUUAUCUAGACAUAGACUAAUUCAAAUAUUGGAGUAGAGGUGUUUAUUUUGUUCAAUUAUUAAUCAAUAAUAUUUGUCCAAGCAUGUUAACAGAGACAAAAAUGAUGCUACACGAGGAUGGAGGUGCUCUUUUUCUCUUUUACUCUAGUAAGUAUAUUAUUUUCGUUUUCUUCUUUUUAUUUUUAAAAAAUCAUUCUUAAUUAAGAAAAUUAGCGUUAUCGUACUCAUAACAUCAUAAGCCAAAAGAUCAUGUAAAGUAAAUUAAAGUAGAAACCUUAGGAACAAACCACUCAAACUAAUUUUUACAAUAAUUAAUAAAGUAGAAAUACUAAGUUCAGUGUUAUUUUUUGUUAAUAGCAGCUCAUGAGUGUGAAAAUUGUGGAAGAUAGAAGCAAUCAAAUCAGCAUACUAUUUAAACUUAGGAUCCAUGAGCUACUAAUAACUUGGCCAAAGUAUUUUAUCCCGCUGAUUUAAUUAACUUCAAAAGUUUUAUUGAGCUCCAAUUAACUAUAGUAAUAACGUGACUUAGUUCAAAUUACAAAACUCGAUCACAAGUAAUCGUACGGAGUUGAAUAAACCAUAUAAAUAAGGCGCCACAGUAACCAAGUUAGUGUUAGCCCCUUGUGAUCACCAUUUUAAUCUAUUAUCUCACUUCUUUCUUGCUUUUGUUUUUCCAUCCCUCCUUUUCCAGUUGUGAAAUUACUGCAACUACAACUGGAUAGGACGAAAGGCGGCUCAUUUUACCAAUUAGAAACUUGGCUAUGUUCAUAAAAAAGAAGAAAAAAAAAGCCUUGAACUUCAAGAAAAGUAAACAAAUCUCAGCACUAACUUGAGAGAAAAUGAAACCUCUGGCAAUAGCUGAUCCAAACCUACCCUGUCAAAUCCAAGUUUGCCGAAAGAGAGAACACGGGCGAGGAAGAUGAUAAUUUGAAUCAAAAUUAAAACAAUGCAGUAUAUGUGCAAGGCCUUUAGCUAGGAAGAUGGAGUAUCAUAGAGGAGAAGGUAGAGGAGCAGUACCGUUAUUGAUAAACAAUCCCUCAACGUGGUGGACCUAAUAAGAAUGUGGAUCUCAUCCAUUGACUGUCAGAGUGGCACAUGGCAAUAAUAUCGACUGUGACUUUCUCACUUUCCUGGUUGGAUGGUAGAACAAUUAGAUCAGAGUACCUUAAGAUUGUGGACCUAAGAUUGUCGCACAUGGCAAUAAAAUUGAGACUUAAAUGAUAUGGGAUCAGAGUACCUUGUUAGGUGAUCGGAGAAUGCGUAGUUUAGUCAUUUCACGAAAUAUUAGUUGUAUUCAAGUUAAGAUGGAUAGUGCUUAAUUUUCCAUUUAUUACAAGUAAGACUAGGUUAGGAAUAAGGGACAUGAAGUAACCGGAGGAUAAGGUCCAUCAUAUGAGCCACUCGAAUACUAUAUGCUGAAAAAGCAGCUUUGAAACAAAAGAAGAAGCAAAGGCACAAAAUUUUCCUAUGGUUCCUAGAAAUAGCAAAAGAAAGAAGAUAGAAACACAUUAUUGACAUUAUAAAUUUCCAUCAAUUAAUGUUCGUCAUUUUUAUACGGUAACUUACUACAGAGAAAUUGUGAAAGCCGUGUGAGAAAGUUGAGGAUGAAAUACGAGGAAAAUACUUACUCAACAAGAAACUGCAGCAAAAAUAUAUAUAUAUUGGAGUAGAGCCAUAAUAGUCAAUAAAAAAUAAGAAGAAACUAAUGCAAGAGAGAUGAUGGAAAUUGAAUAGAAAGAAGAUAGUUAGCUACGUGAUUUUGAAAGGCGAAGCUACAUUACAAAAUCAUGGAAAUUAUUAGAGAGACAAUGCAGUUGGUGGAAAUUGAAUGGAAGGAAGAUCACCAGAGAGGGACUUAAGUCCCUCCUUGGGCUGUUGGUGAGGGUUCAAACCUCAUCAGCAGCGAAAAAAAUCUAAGGGUUGUGCCAUAACACUCCCUUGGUCUAGUUGGGUCUGUAUACCCACUAUCCCCUAUCACAGCCUCUUUAGGCUCCCCCUCCCCCUAGAUUAGGAUAGAAUAAGUUAUACAAAAUAUAUACAAAAAAGAAUGGAGGAUAGAAUAAGUUAUACAAAAUAUAUACAAAAAAGAAUGGAACAAAAAUAAUUAGCAACGUGAUUUUGAAAGGCGAAGCUACACUACCAGUGUACCACACCAUCGUUCAAAGGCAACGAUGUCUAAACUUAAAACGUGGUGGCCUGGACAUCGAUUUCAUUGACGUAGAAAUAAAAGGAAAAUACAGAUUUAGUCUCUAAUAUUUUGACUUUAUGCAGUUUUAGUCAUUAAAGUUUUGAAAAAUGCAAAUUUGAUUCUCAAUGUUUAGCACAUGUGCAAUUUUAGUCCCUAAAAUAUUGGUAGGAACAAAUUUGGUCCCCUACAUUAUCGUUUUGAAGCAAAUUUAGGAUGAUUGACGAAUUUUUUCAAAUAUUGGUAGAAUCUGUUACGUGUAGUUACAUGCUUGUCAAUUUUAAAUAUCUUAAAAAAGAAGUAAAAUAGCGAGUACUCUUCAAUACUAAGACCAGUUUACAUGAUGCCACGUCGGUAACUAAUUAAUCAAGAAAAAGAAAAUUUGUUAAUCUAUAUGAAAAAGUAAAUGUUACGAUUUUGUGCUUGGCAUAGUCAGGAUAGAGUGUAAAAAUGAGUUCUAUAUCGAUGAAUUGGGUGCUUCAACUAAUUUUAGUUUAAAAAUUUUCAAUUUUUACUAGUUAAUUAGUUAGCAUAUGAAUUAUCAGUUCUUAAUUUUGUUGUUUAAAGUUAGCUACUACUUUGCAUCUUUGUUUUGAAAUGUAAAUUAAUGGACACAUAAUUAGACGUGACUAAAUUAUGUCAGUAAUUGAAAAAAAAAUUUCAAAUGUCCUAAAUCUAUUUUCAAAAUGGAUAUAUUAGGGACCAGAUUUGCUCUUGCAAAAAAUUUAGGGACCAAAACUGCACAGGGACAAAAAAGAUUGAGGACCAAAUUUCCUUUCACCAAAACUCUAAGGACUAAAACUCCACAGGAGAUAAAAUUUAGGGACUAAAUUUUUUCCAGGAAUACGUGAUGCAGAGGAAAGUUAUUUCUUCUGAGUGGAACAGAAAAAGCAACUCAAGACCUAAGCUCAAUUCAGGUUUCUGAUGAAUUCUUUUGUGAAAUCUAGCCGAGAGUAGCUGAAACUAGUUAAGAAUACAAAAUUAUACUUAGUACGCAAUAAGCAGAAAGGCAUCCAAGGGUCAGUAUAAAUUAUCUUCAAAUUUCAGAACACCAGUGCUUGUGCACCUAUUAAUGAAUUAUGGACUCGAUAAUAGUAUAUUUACUUUAAUGUAAGCUUUAAGUACUCCCCUACCUUGUUUUCUUUUACCUGAAUAGAUAGUUUCAAUGCUUAUUCUUCGACUAAAUGAUGUUGUACUUUAUUUGUUCAUUUUUUUCUUUUUGUUUUUUUUUUGUCAAAUGAUGUUGUACUAAAAAAGAGAGGAAUUUGCGAAAGAAUAUAAGGGUUCAAAUCUUAUCUAUUAGAAAUUAGUUUCGUUAAUUUCAAAGAAAGAAGUUAAUUAAAGAUCCCCUCUUUGUAUUUUUAUUUUUAACUCAGUAGAACUUAGCAUCUGCUAACCCUUACAUUAAUCAAACAAAUUGCCAACCAAUCGUUCUUGAUUGCCCACAUGUUGCUAAAUCUCAUUGUCAGCAUUCUUUCUUGGUUGCCUCAUAAUUCUUUAAUGCUGAUUUUUUGUAUUAAGUACAUUAGAAAAGAAUAUGAGUUCCACUUUACUACUAAAAUUGAUUAUUAGCAGAGAAGACAAAAGAGACUGGCGAUGCCGAGCCUUAGCACCUAGCUGUCACGGGCUCGAUGCCCUUCCAUAUGCAUCAGCGCAGAAAGCAAAAGUGAUAAGUUCAGUAAUAGGUGCAAUUGUUCAGUCAUCUUCUUUUUUGGUAAAGAAUGGAAGGGUGAAUACAAAGGUGAGAGCAAAACACCCCCCAUUAAUACAUGACUUUAGUCAUUCAAUAAGAAGUAGAUCUAGAAUUACACUACUGGUUCCUAGAAACAGCUUAAGAAAGAGACAGAGACAAUAUAUAUUGACAUUAUAAAGUUCUGUCAAUUAAUGAUAGGGUGUCGGCCUGUGUAAUAAUAAAACCUACUCAAAGUAAAAGUAAUUUCUGUAGAUAGCGGUGAGCAGGGUCGAAUCCACAGGGAUUGGGAAUAAUUGUUUCUUUUCAAAUUCACAGUGACAAGGGGGGUGUUUUUGCGCAGAGAGUGACAAUCAAAUAAAUGCAAAUAAAAUCCAAGGAACUACUAAAAAUUAAAUAACAAUUUACUAAAAUCAAAUAAAUGAUAACUAAGGAUCUAGCUAAGGAAUAACUUCAGCAAUGGUUCACCUAAUUGAUCAUCGAUGCAAAGCCAAUUCCAAUUAUUUACUAAUAAAUAUGUUAUAACUGUCAAACAAGCGAUGACAGUCAACCCCUCCUUACUGUGUCGGUGAUUAAGGUACGCUCGUCAAUCACUACUCUAAUUGAGAAAUAAUCUUAGGUACGCCGGUAAGAUUUAAUUCCCUAAUUGCCUUACGUAUUAGAGGAGCCCUAUUCUAACCAAAUAACACAUUACCAGGGUUAUUUUAGGUUAGCAUGCGUAUUCCCCUGACACAAACCCAAUCAUGUCAGUUAUCACUAUUUUGAGACAAUUAAACAAUUACAGAUUUAACGUCCCAAUUGACAAUAGAUUAUUAAAUUAAUUAAUUAUCCGGAUCCAAGACAAUCAAUUAAUUAAACAAUCAUAAGCACUGUAACCAGGGAAUAUGCGAAUACCAAUAAAUAAAAGAAAAAGAUAAAAUUAAAUCGAUCUCAUAAUUUUAGGCGAGCCAAAGCGUCCGUUGCUCCUUGACUAGACAAAGGGAUUUAACUCAUCCUUGUCUACUCUUACCGAAAAGAAAAGAAAAGAAACUAAAGAUAAAAGGAAAAGUCAAUGAUAGGGUGUCAUUUGUUAGUAAUUUUAUUAGUAAUUUUCCCUUUUAUCUCUGUCAAAUAUUGUGUUAAUUGCGAAUAUCUACUUAUAUUUGGUUUGUGAACUUAAUUUCAGGAAUGGAACAGAAAACUACCAAACCUGAGGGUCUUUCUGGAGAUAAUUGAGACUUCAAACAAGCCACAGGCCAGGGCCACAGUGCUGAAAAGAACUGGACUCCCAUUCCUUUAUUUUUGUUGACUAAGAAGACUACAACCAGAGAUUUCGACAGAGAACUUCAAGGCUUGGGCCUUUGACUUCGGCAGGGACCACGGAGGAAAGGAAAAGGGCUUUAGGCAUUUGGCUCUUAAGAAGAAAGCAACGUAGAGAGCCAGAAAAACUAAGAAGAAACUUGGAGGCUUGUGGCUAAGUGGUGGGGACCGCACUGAGGCUCAAAACAAGGAGAAGAAUUCGGCAGACUUGUGCUAUUUCGUGGGGACCACUGGAUGAGCUUUGAGUCAUCUUUCUCUUGGUUCUUAAAAGGGGGACAACGUACAGCAGAAAAAGGACGGCUUGAGUUUUAGCUUUUUAGUUUAGUUCUAGUUUUCUUUCUUUUGACUAGCCUUUGACACACGCCAGGUGUUCGACAAUAUUUCCCAACGGGAAAAACAUCUUUUAUUCCUUGCUUUCUAGUAAAAACGCAAUGCCUUUGCAAUCAAUUAAUUCGUGUGGUGAUUUAAUUAUGCGGCGUGACUAAACCUUCCAUCUAGUCAAGGGUCAACUCGACGGCGCAGUCCCGAAAAUUUGUGAGAUCUAAUUAGUUUUCGCGCGUUCCUCAAUUUAUUAAUAUUUGCACGUUAUCUGCUUGAAUUUUCAUGAGAUUAUUUUAUUAUUUGAAUGUCAAGGGUCCGAUGUUCAAUGUGAUUUAUUAAUCUCGUGCCAAUUUAGUCAAUUAAAUCCGUAAUUGUUUGAUUGAUUAAUAUUAGUGGCAACUGGUGUGUUUACACAUUAGGGGAAUGUGCAAUCUAAUUUAAAUAACCCUCGUAGCGUGUUAUUGAUUAGGGCUAGGUUUUUCUAGUGAUUAAUGCAAUUGGAAAAUUAAUUCCUACGGUCGUACUUAGGAGUAUUUUCUGGUUAGGGGUAAUCAAUGGUCGUACCUUGGUUAUCAAUAAAUUAAGGAAAAAUUGGUCGUUAGAAUUCGUCGGCGACUAUAACUAGUCUAUUAAUAAAUUAAGUGAACCUCUCUUGCAUCAAUGAUCGGGUAAAUGGACUGUGUCUGAGUAGUUGUAUCCCUGGCUAGAAUUUAUUUAUUCUUGAUUUAAUUCCUGCUAUAUUUGUGCUAGUUAAUUAUUUAUUUUUAGUUAGAUUGUUUAAUUAUUUUUAGUUGCCUAUCGGUGAAAUCCCCCUCUUACCAAUUGGACUUUAAAAGAGACAAAUAUCUCCAGUCCCUGAGGAGACGACCCUAUUUGUCACUGUCUACUAUUUAGUAAAUUUCGUCAAUUAAUUAAUUCUGGUAUAUCGGAUUCAGCAAACUGUUCGGUAACAGGGUUAAUCAAGUAACCCAUUGCACACCUAGAGUCCCUGCUCCAGUACCUGGAAUUAAUUUUUGACUGCUUUUAGUGGUAUUUAGGUUUUUAUUAUUAUUAUUGCACAGGUUCGACACCUGUCAGUCAAAGUCUUCCCCAUUGUUUCUCCUCACAUCCGUGGAGAAUAACUACUAAAAGCUAAGAAGAAAAAGUGAAAAGUAAGGCUAAGCUAAAAGACGAAAAAACUAAGAAGAAAGCAAGGUUGUCCCUUUCUCCACUGCAAUUUUCUGGUUUUUGGUUAUAGUAUUUUUGUUCUACUCUCUGAAAUAAAUAUAAAUUGCCAAAAGUGAGUAGAAUCUAACAAUUAAUCCACAUCGGGUUAGGUAAUAGAGGAAAUUAAUAAUAAAAUAAAUCAUAAAAUUGCAACCUAUCAAUUUCCCCCACACCUAAACCAUACUUGCCCUCAAGCAUGAUAAUAGCAAACAAACACCAAUAUUUGACAAUGGUCAUUGCUCCGUCUACCAUAUUACCAAGAUACCAAGAAAAACAUAUAUCAAGCAUGGGUGAUCAAGAUCCAAGAAACAUCACUUCGGUUAGCUUCUAAACCACAAACUCCUCUAAUUUCAUGUUAACUAAUCUAAGAAAAAGAAAUGACGCACAACAUUUAUCAGCAAAUGGUCCAACUAUUAAUCAAAAUCUCAACAUUAAAUCCAUAAAUCGGCAAGCUGACUUUUAUUAUACACUAACACAACUUUCAUUUUUUUAUCACAUUUUUCUACUUUUCUCUUUUUUUUUUCCUUUUUUUUCUCUUUUUUUUUUUUGCUUUUUUCGAUAGUAACAAAAGACUUGGUCGCUAGCCAUUGGAGCCUUUUGACGCGAACUCUGACAUUUAUUAGAUGAAAGAGCCCGGUUACUCAGUUUCGAUCGCCACGUGACCACGUACUCAUAGUAAUUACUACUUUUUGACGUGAGAAUUGACACUUUUGGUGAAGAUCCCCGGUUACUCGGUAGUAAAGACUAGCGGAGUACAGUCAACUCUUAUUCACCACUAAAUAAUAUAAAAACUCAAUAUAACACAAAAAUUAAAAGAAAAUUUACAUCAGCUAGUCUCAUUUUCAAACAUGGAGAACUAAGGUUAAUAACCGGACCAAUUCACAUGAAAAUGCCAACAAUCAUUCCCUUUGCCUAGAGAAGUUAACCAAAAAUUAGAAGAGCUACAUAAUCACUGAUAUUCACUAAAGGAAUGCUCUUGGAUUCAACCACAUUAACUCGAUACAUUUUUAUUAUUAAAACUAGGCAAAAGUAGAAAUAGGGACAACAAUCCAACAUCAAACCUUGGCAUGCACAUGUAAACUAAUCACUAAAAAGAAAGAAAGGAAAUGCACGAAAGAUGGCCAAAUAACAAACUAAAAAGAAAGAAAGAAAAAAAUAUGAGAAAAAAAAUAAAUAAAAGAAAAACACCUAAAAACUAGAAACGCUAGCACCCCCCAUUUGCUCCCCCCCACACCUAAAUCACACAUUGCCCUCAAUGUGAUAAACUAACAGCAAAAGGAAGGAGAAGGGCAACGGUACUUCCCUGAAGUCGUCAAAACAGUGGAGGGUUAGGCGGAAAUUAAGGAGGAAUUCCGGUGUGCUGCAUAAAUGCGGCCAAAUUUCUGCAUAAAAGCUGACAAAACUUGCCCAUCCCAAAAUCUCAAUAAAUGUCUCCAAUUGGACAGUUAAUUUCUCAACUCAAAAUCGGCAAUUCCAGCAAAAGCAGUUUAGAAAUUUGAUAAUAGCCACACAAUGACAAGCACUUAGUUCCCAAUCAGGCAGCCAACCAAAUAGAAAUAACAAAUGCUAGUCAAAAUAUCCCAACCAGUGCCACUGAUGCACACACAGGUAAGAAACAAUGCAAACAGGCAACCCAAAUCACUGACAAUGCCCCUCCAAAUCAAUAAUAGAAACCAACAGCUAGAGUGCCCCAACAACUCAACUGAAAACUACCAAUCUCAACAAGUAAAUCAAGCAACCAGGUUUUCCAAAUCAACAGGCAGUAGCAGAACUAAAUCACCCAAUCACCGUGCACGAUAGGCAACAAAAAAAAAUUUUUUUUUUUAUAAGUGCGGGGCUGCCAUGGUGAGUUCUAUAUAUAACACUACUGGUUCCUAGAAACAGCUUAAGAAAGAGACAAAGAGACAAUAUAUAUUUGGACAUUAUUAUUUUUCAAAAAAAAAUUGCUACGUUUUUCGUAAACACAUUUUCCAAUCACCUUUCCACCUCACAUAUAUCAAAUCACUACAUUAAUUUUUCUACAAAAAAAUCUAAAAAAAUGCAAUCCAAACACAACCUUAAAGUUCUGUCAAUUAAUGUUUGUCAUUUUUAUACGGCAACAUGCUAGUACAAAAGAAUUGUCAAAAGCCGUGUGAGAAAGUUAAAAGUUAAGAAUGAAAUACGAGGAAAAUUCUCAUUCGCAACAAAGAAACUGCAGCCAAAAAAAAAAAAAAAAAGAGGAGUGGAGCCAUUAAAGUCAGUCAAAAAGAAAAAGGAAAAAAUAAUCAAUUACAAGAAACUAAAGCAUGAGAGAUGAUUGAAAUUAAAUGGAAAGGAGACUGACAGCAGUGUGAUUUUGAAAGGCGAAGCUACUCUACCCGUUACACUACAAAAUCAUGGAAAUUAUUAAGCAGUUGGUGGGGCGUAUGCGUUCACUCUUCAGUCUUCCAUCAAAUAAAGGGGGUGGCUACCAGCGUACCGCCCUAUCGUUCAAAAGCAAUCGAUGUCUAAACUUAAAAACGUGGCGGCCUGGACAUUGAUUUCAUUUCAUUGACGAACAAAUAAAGGGAAAAUACGCAGUUAGUUAUAAUAGGCAGGGCAAUUAUACCCAACAAAUUGCAAUAUUUCAGAAGUUAGUAUUUACAAAUUGAACUCGACUAGUCUGGAAACAUCACUGUUAUAUAUUCCGAUCAAGAACAUAUACUAUGAAUAAUUGCAGUCGAAUAUCGUUCUUUAACUAAACUGUUAAGAUGAAUUCUGGGAAGUGAGUGAGGAGCUCAAACUAUAGAGACGCAUAGAAACUCUGCCAUUCAAUGUUGUAGAUCUCUUGUUUAACAGCUUAGAAGCCGCUAAUUGGGUAGUCUUUUAACUCAUCUCCAAAAUCUGAAGGCUUUAACUCAUCCCGGACUAGCUAUAAUGCCCCCGCAUGAAUGCUAUAAUUUGUACCUAUAAUCUAAAAAGCGUUUGUCAAAACUCUAUACGAGUCUCCAAGUGUGUGCCAAGUUUCACAGGUUGCAGAAAUGUACUCCAAGUUUCACAGGUUGCAAGAAAGUCCACCUCUUUCGUUGUAAAGAUGAUUGCUCGAGGGCGUAAACUACUACUAACACAUAUGUUACCCCAGUCAGACGACAGAGUGUCCAGAAAUAAGAUUCAAAAGCUUUGAUAGUCUUAACUCAUAUCCAAAAUCUGAAGGCUUUACGUACUGCUGCUACAAGGAGAUCAUUUCAGUUGAUUCAGAGAACCUUGCAUGAAUUCGGUGAAAUGUCCAGCCUCAAACCAAACCUACACAAGUGUCAGAUAUACAUGGCUGGUGUGAAUGAGGAUAUGCAGAUUCAGCUUUGCAAUUCACUGCAGAUGCCUUUAGGCUCACUCCCUGUUAGUUAUUUGGGCUUGCCAUUGAUAUCUACUAGACUGAGAUUUUAUAUAUCGUCAACCUAUUUUAAAUAAGAUAGAACAAGGAAUUCAUAGUUGGGCUAGUAAAAAACUUUCAUAUGGAGGCAGAUUACAAUUGAUAAAAUCCAUCUUAAAUGGAAUUCAGGUUUUUUGGUCUAGUGCUUUUGUUCUUCCCAAAUCUGUCAUCAAGACGUUUUGUAGGAUGCUAACUUCCUUUUUAUGGGCUGGUGAGAUUAGAACUCAUUAGUGUGCAAAAGUUAAGUGGACUGAUAUAUGUAUGCCUAAGAAGGAGGGAGGAUUGGGCUUGUUUGAUUUAAAACUUUGGGACAAAUGUCUAAUCAUGAAGCAAAUAUGGCAUAUUUGCUGUAAAAAGGAUACUCUUUGGGUUAAAUGGGUUCAUACCAACAACUUGAAAGGGUGUUCCUUUUGGGCAGCAAAGAUUCCUGUUAAUGGUUCUUGGGUAUGGAGGAAAAUAUUGUUGAGGCCUGAGGGACGAAGCUCAGCCUUUCAUUAGGCAUCUACUGGCACCCUAUUGGUCCUUUAUAUAAAUAUUUUUUCUGAAAUUUGUAUCAUAUUUCAACGGAAAUGUAUCUUUGCUCUGACCAUUGUGUCUAUGGUCCUUGAAUCAGUUAGGAAUACUAGUGUUGUGAGUUGGAGAGGAGUCCCACUGACCAAAGCCAAUUGGGAGCUAAGUAUGGAGUUCGGAUCGUCUCGUGUGUUUCCAGCAAGAUUGAGUUUGCAUUACUAUAAUAGUGAUAGAAUUUAUGUAAGUAGGAAUUGUUUGAUUCCUGUGUACUCGCUUAAUUCUUUAUCAAUAAAGAUUCAUAUUUGUCCAAAAAAAACCAACAAAAGAAUGACCAAUUACUUGCAUUACAUCAACAAUUAAUAUCAAUUAUGCCAACACUAGCAAAAAAGAAAAACAUUCCCAUGAGUUGUGGUGAAUUAAAUCGAAAAAAGAACAACAAAUUUUAUUUAUUAUAAAAGAAUAUCGUGAAUCUUAGUGGUUAAUAGUGUAAUUAGCUUUUGUGAUGCCACAAUUACACUCCUCUCUAAUAAAUGGACAAAUUGCAUUGCAUUUCAUCAAUAAAUAAUAUCAAAUAUGCUAGCAGUUACAAAAAUGAAAGAUUUCUUACUUUUUUAUUUAUCAAAAAAAAGAACAAAUUUUAUUUAUGAAAUAUCCAAGUUUAAAGAGUACUUCGAACAUGAAAUAAAGCAUAAUAAAUUGGUACUAUGAGUCUCUUAAAAAGUAUUAUGAAUCUUUUUAUAUUUUGGAUAAAAAUAAAUUAAGCCUUAAGAGCACGUUUUAGUAUGCAUAUAUUAGUAUUAAGUAAAAAAAUUUAACACAAAAUAUAAUAAGAGCUGGAGUAUGAUGAAGGAAAAGAGAUUUAUGUUAGGAAUUUAUUGGUUUAAAUUGCAACAAAAAUUAAAUUUAAUGAACUUUAUUAUUGGUAUUAUUGUAACAAUUGAUAGCAUCAAACAUAUCAAUGCCAAUAACAAUAAUAGUUAUAAAGGUGAAACAAUCAUUUGAGUUAUGGUGAAUUAAACUAAAAAAUAUAAUUUUUUAAUGAAAUAUAUAUCCAAUUUCAAAGAGUACAUCAAAGGUGAAUAAAAAUAUUUCCAAAUUCAAUUUGAUUAUUAUAUAAUAAAUAAGCUUAACGGCUUACAAUUUUUAAAUAUAAACUCUAUAAUCGUAAAUCAUGUCAUAAAUGAUAAAUAUAAAUAAGUUUCACCAAAUGAAAACAUUUCUCUUCAAAAUUAAGCUAUUUAAAUUUGAACAAUGGAAUUCAACAUAUCUAAAUACUAUUGUAAUUAUAAUAGUACUAUAGAUCAUUUUAGAAUUCAACAUUAGCGAAAAAUAAUAAUAAUUAGAAAAACUCACUACUGUUUAAAAAUUCAUAGAGUGACUUAAAGGGGAACAACAAAUUAUUCAAAAGUUAAAGAUUUUAACUCAAAUGACAUAAAUUUAACAGAAAGAAGAAAACAUAAAUACUCUUACAAAAUAAAGUCCUCUUGGAACAAAUAAUACUUUAUUACUUGUGCAUUUGUAUUGGUUAGGGCAAACCAAAUUCAAAAAAAUAUAUGAAUAAUAAAUAUCCUUUUUGGUUAACAAGUUAUAAAUUUAAACUCAAAUGACAUAAAAGAGAACACUGAGAUAAUCCAAAUUUAACAGAAAGACAACAACAUUGAUACUGUUACAAAUUAAAUGUGCUCUUAGGAUAAAUAAUGCUUUAUUGCUUAUGCAUUUGUGUUGGUUAUGGCAAAAAAAUACAAAAAAGUAUAAAUAUUAAAUGUCACAUUUUUUGUCUCAAUUACAUUUAUUCUUACAAAAUAAUUUAUUUUCUAAAACUUUUGAGAAAUGUUAUUUGUAGUCACAUUUCUGUUAAUCAUACUCCCACUAUCACUUAAAUCAUAUAGUUUUCAUUUGUUAAGAUAUGUGGUACCGUAUCAAAAAAAAUGGAGUGCAAAUUACAUUUUUGAAAAUUCUAAGAAAAAAAUCUAAAAAUAUCAUGCUCAUGUUCACGUGUAAAAGCACAUGAUCCAUUACUGGUAUCUUAAAAAUGCUUGAUUAUCCAAAUAGAGGAGCUUCCUAAAGAUUGUUGGAGUUUGAAUGGUCAGUUCCCUUGUGAAGUUUCUUGAACAAUCUCGAGACUCAGAUGGUUCUUAGAUGAACAUACGAUUGCAUAAUGGGUGAUGAUAUGUUGAAAUUUGUUAUUAAUUGUUAUGAUUAAUUUCCCCUUUACUCUUGCCAAAUAUUGUUUUAAUUGUCAGAUUCUACUGAUAUUUGGUUAAUUGUGUUAAUUAUAGAGAAUUAUGUGAGACGCGAUCAAAAUGAGCAAAUUUCUAGCAUUCCAAGAGUUAAUUUGAUGGUGGUACGUUUGGGGCCGAUUUCCAAAUCCUAGUCGAACUCAGGUUAAUUUUUGAAGGAAGAUUUUGAAAACUUCAAUUUUCAUUAUUAGUUCUAGAAUUGGAUCAGGGAACUUGGAAUAGUAUUUUUAGUAGUUACUUUUUUCUAUUUAGGAAACAUGUUAUGUUAUUGGUAGUUGAGAUCGAAUGGGAAACAAAAAACAAAAGCAAAGGACGGACCGCUUGAUGUGGAGUUGGCCAGCAACAAUUUCAGAGUGCGACUCUUGGAAGUAGGAUAUACGGCCGUCACUUGUUUCUUUUUUUUCCCUCUUGUCUUUCGUUAGUUUUUUUAGAGAAAAACCAUACGCAAUUGUUAUCAAUGGAGUCUUGUGGAUUUCCCUCGAGGAUGCGUAGCUAAAUUCUAUUUCUAGUCUGAGGAUAACUUGAAGACUUUGUUCUACAAACUAUGAGAUCGAAUCAAUUACACUGUUUCUUUUAUUUGCUGGUAUUUAUUCGUUCUUUGGUUUUAAUAAUUAUGACUAUUAUGUUAUUCAAAUAUCAAAGGGCUCGGUAUUUGAAUUGACUUGAUAGUUGAUUGCUAAUUGAAUCGAUUUAAUUCGUAAUUGUAAGAUUGCUUUAAUCUUGGGAGCAACUGGUAUAACUAGAUUUGUGUUAGGAAAAUGACUAAUCUAACUUAAAGAGACCUUAUAGCGUGUUGAUUGGUUAGAAUUAGACUCUUCUAAUUAUUCAUGCAAUCCGGUAAACAAACUUCUAUGGUCGUACCUAGAGUUAUUUCCUGAUUAGAGAAAUAGUCAACGAUCGUACCUUGACUAUCGACAAAAUAAGGAAGAGUUGGUUUUUAUGCUAGAACUAAUUUAUCAAUAAAUAAUUAAAUUUAUCCUUGCAUCGGUUUAUGAACUUUGUCUGAUAGUUAUUCCUCUUGCUAGAGUUUUGCUAUUAUUGAUUCAAUUUUAUUUUAUUUGUGUUAUUUUGAUCUUACUGAAUUUAGUUGGUUAAUUCCAAGUAUCUCCAAACUCCCCCAAUUAAUUCUCACUUGAAAAGAAAUAAAUUUUUCCAAUCCUUGUGGAGACGAUCCUGCUCAUCACUGUAUACAGUUUUAUAUUUAUCUCGAGUAGGUAAUUAUUAUUACACACACUGACAUCGGUCAAGUGAUGCUUUCCAUAGUCUGAACCUAGUUGAGGAUGACGAAAAUUAGUCUUGCCCUGUUAUGGACUGUAGGAAUGGUGAGAGAGGAAGGGAAGAAGCAGGCCUUGAAAAAAUGAGCUAACUUGUGCAAAGAGUGGGUGGGGAACGUUAACAUAACUUUUUGUGCGUUUUCUCCUGAUGUAAUUGUCGGCAAUAACUUUGUCCAGUGCUAAGGGAAACACCCAUCGAUUUUGCAUUUCUAGUUUGAUAUUUGAGGGCCUUUGCAUCUCUGAAGAUCAAAUGGUACAGUUUGGAAUUGCUGAUGGUUCUGCGGCAAGUGUAUUUUUUUUUUCCUUGAAAUUUCAUCAAAGCCGCUCUUCUUUUUUUUUUUGUCUUUUUUUUUCUAAUGUAAGUGAGAAGGUUUGAACCCAAUAGCUCUUAUUUAUACUCCGUUCUCUCGUACCAUCUAACCCAUUCCUCUACUAUCAUCAAAAUUGCUGUUUUAAGAAGUAAGAACAAGCAUUAAGUCAUGUCCAGUGCUAAGGAAAACACUGGUUGAUUUUGCAUUUCAAGUUUGAUGUAUAGGGGCCUUUUCAUCUCUGAAGAUCAAAUAGUACAGUUUGGAAUUGCUAAUGGUUCUGCGGCAAGCUCAAUAUCAAAUGGUACAGUUUUGAUCCUUGUUUUAAGUUAUCAAGGGGUUAAGUAACUUCAUGUUUUGAUCCUUGUACUAUUUUUUUUUAUUUACAUUUUUGGGUUUUCUGGAUAAAAUAGUACUACUUAUCAUAAACACGGGCGAAAUUUUAGAGCAACUUCAGAAACAUGUGUGUUAAAGUGGAGCUCAAGACUCCCAGAUAAUGAGAAUGUACUCAAGCCAAUAGGCCAGUGGUUGCUCUUGAUUACCAACAUAUGCAUAUGCAUAGAUCAUCUGCAUUUUUUGUUCCUAAUUGCCAGCAUAAUCCACAUCUUUUGAUUUUACAAAAAUGCUGUAAAAAAAAAAGUCAUGAGCCCCUCUAUACUACGAGAAGAUGAUUGAUUGUUCACCCAGAUUUUGUCAAGUUUAGAAAAAAAAAAUCUUUAGAGUGAAUUGAAUCAAAUCCAAAUUUUGUGUUUAGUGACAAUUCCUAAAAGAGAAUGCAAUGAAGAUUUUCAGUGUAAAACAUUUAAGAACCAGUCAUGCACAUUGUAGGUUUAUUAGCACAAAGUAAUUAUGCUAGUCAAUGAUGAAUGAUCUCAUAUGCAACGCGAGUUGAAACAUUGGCAAAUUGGGAAAGGAAAGAAUAGAUUGGGGAUACCUAUAACUUAAAAGGAGUCAUAUAAUAAACUUGGUGCAUGUUCAGUAUUCGCUAUAUUUACAAGACAAGCCAUUAUUGAUGUGGGUUUGUACAAGCAGAGUGAGGACAAAUUGGGUUUAUGUAUUAUCUCUCACCAAAAUUUAAAAGUUAUUAUUUGGAGCUUUUAAUGAAAAUUUUCUGGUAGAUAUUAUUAACACACUUCUAACCUGCCUACCUUCUUGGACUGGACAUUGUUGAUUUCAUUGACGAAGCAAUAAAACUGCUACAGAGUCUUUUGCUCCUUCUAGUAACAUAUAUAACCUUCCUUCCUAUAUGGAAUUAAUUUCUGCUGACCAAUUAGUAUUUGUAAUAAAAACGGAUGGAAUAUCAAAGAAGCCUUGGGAACAAAAUGUGAGACUACAUUGAUUUAGGAGGCCUUUGAACAGCAUGGAAAUUUAGCACAUGUGCAAUUUUUAGUCCCUAAAAUAUUGGUAGGAACAAUUUCGGUCCGCCAUGUUAUCGUUUUGAAGUAGAUUUAGGAUGAUUGAUGAAUUUUUUUAAAUAUUGGUAGAAUCUGUUACGUGUGAUUACAUGUUUGUUAAUUUUAAAUAUCUUAAAAAAGAAGCAAAAUAGCGAGUACUCUUCAAUAAUAAGACCCGUUUACAUGAUGCCAUGUCGGUAACUAAUUAAUCAAGAGGGAAAAAAAAGAAAAUUUGUUAAUCUAUGUGACGCCCCCACUUCUCCCUAAGGCGAACCAAAGGGUAUCCGCGGGACGCCUGCCCAGCUCUCGCCAGGACUCACUACAAUCCAUCAUUUAAAAGCUCGAAAUACUUUAAGUAACCUCAAUACAUAAUUAAAGUAUUUCAAAUAUCUCACACUUACAAUUAUGCAGCUUUCAAGGUUAAAUACAACCCAACGGAAAAGGGUACAAUAGCCAUCCGUUAUAAUAUAACUUAAAGUUUUCAAAAGAAAACAAUCUAGUACUACUCACGAGCACCCUUGGUCUCGAACCCUGUAAAAGAAAUCCACAACGUGGUAUGAGCUACACAGCCCAGUGAGGUUCCAAGACACUCUAACAGUUCAAAUAAAUCAAGUAAGUUGGGCAUAUCAUAUGCAUGGUUCAAGGUUACACAAUGGCAUGUUAUCAUGAGGUGAUAAUCAUUGUACGGGUAAUUUGAGACAUUUAUCAUGGUAUGAGACAUUUAUCAUGAGACAGGUAUCAUGGUAUGAGUACAUUGGUCAGGUAACAGGUAUGGAGCAUAUCACAGGCAUAGCUCAGGAUUUCAUGUUGGCAUUUUAGCAUGAAACAAUUAUCAUGAUACAAGGUAAACAUAUACGGUAGGAUACGGUGUUCCAGUGGAACUCUGUCGGUCAUCUGCACCUUAUGACUUCCGGAUCCCCUCGGUUUGACUGGCCAUCACCUUAUCCCUCCAAUGGUAAUACUCGAGUAUACCGAAACGGUGUCCCAAGGUUCCAACCUACCCUACCGAGCCCAGUCCUGGCUCGAGUAGGUUAGUAACGAUGAGCAGGGCCCAAUUCAGCUUAGAGCUUACAACAUGCACAAGUAAUCAAGUAAUUCGGCAAAAGGUAAAAUUCAUCAUUUGAGUAGGUCGAGUGAGGUAAAGUACACACUCGCCUAACAAUGAUGGACAACUUCAUAUAACAUGGGAUUCAUGAUAAUCAAGUGAUCAAGUAAGUUGGUGAUUACGUAAGCAGAUAAUCAAGUAAGCAAGUAGCCGAAUAGAUUAGAAAACGGUAAGUAAACAUGGUUAACGGUAAACGGUUAACGGUGGUAAUUACGGUUAAUUGGUAGACAUAUGUCAUUUUAAUAGGCCACCAUUGGCCUUUUUCACUUUUUCCACAUAAGAGUCGAGGAGAUUCACUCCAACCGACUUAUGCUGUCAUAGCAUAAUUAAUCAUUUAAACACAUCAUGUAGAUAUGCUCUCCAAGCAUUUCAUAUCUAAUAUUUCAAGUAAUCACAUAAAUAUGCUCUUUAAGCAUUUCAUAUCGAAUAGUUCAAAUAUACAUAUUUCAGGUAUUUCAUGUCGAGUAAUUCAAGUAUACCUUAUUCAGAUAUGCAUGAGUGUGGUAAAUACUUAACAUAUAGCACUUAACACUUAAUAAUCAUGGGUUAUGCAUGUCAUAGACUUAUUCCAAUUACGUAUUCCUAUAUGGAACACUCACCUAUAGCAACAAGAGAGUAAUACUCAAACAAAUGUCUAGGCGUCCACUUCGAGUUCCUCUUGAAGGUCCCCUUGAGCGCCUGGGCAAAUAACCAUUAACUAUUAUACACUAUCACUUAGAACCCCUACUUAUCAAAGAAGGUUAUACAAUCUAAGGAGAAUUCAUUAAUUGGGCCUUAAUUAAUAAUAAUCGAGGCUCAAGAGUAAAGUUUUAAAGUCUAAAGAGAGAGACUAAUAUUUUUCAUGAAAUCGAGUUCAAAAUGUUCAAUCGGUAUUGAGAAAAGAAGGCAAGUUUCCAAAAUCUCAUUUUCUAAGAAAUUGACAAAUUUCAGCUUUGGGUGUCAAUUUUAGAAAAAUCGUAUCUUGCACUAUGUAGGUCCAAAAUUGGAAAGCUUGAUACCGUUGGAAACUUCUUCAAAAGCGCUAAAAGUUCCUAGAAGAUACUUUUCCAUGAUUCCAAACAGAAGGUAUUCAAAAAUUGACUCAAAGUUGCUGCUUGGGACCAUUUAGACAGUUUCGGGGUUGGUUUUUGACCAUCUUUGAAAAUCCAGCAAAAUUCACACAAUACGAACUAGCCUCCAAAAUUUAGAACUCAAUUAGAGCUACAAUCAAAGUUUAAAACAAAACAAACGGUACAAGAAUUGAAGUUUUGAGCGCCAAGAUAUAGCAGCUCAAAGUUGGCUAAAAAUUCCUCCUCGAUCAAGAAUUUCCAGAUUUAAACAUGAACUUUGGGACUUUGUUUGAACAUCUAAACAGACUCGAAAUGGCACCAAAUUUGGUAUGAUUAUACUACCAUAUAAGGGCUAUUCCUCUGUCAAAUUUCAUAGAAAAAUAUGCACGGAAAGUCACUCAACGAAAUCACUCAAGUUUCCAAAUUUUUAAGGCAAAGCUGCCUCGUGUAUGAAAAUUUCCUUUUCUAAACUUUUGACCAAGGGAAGAUACCUAAAACAUGUCUCGUUUAUGAUAAUCAGGUCUAGCAAGAAUUCAAAAUACAUUUGAUAGGUGAUUUACAUCAAGAAUUUCGAAAUAACAAGUCCCAAGUCAUUGUUAGUUACAAAUCUGUCCAAGUGGAAAAUUCUAUCACUGUAGCUGUUUCAAACUUUGGCCACAACUCACUCAAUUCAACUUGGAAUUGGGCGUGGUUGAUGGCGUUGGAAAGCUCUCUCAUAAAGCUGAAUUUUCUCAGAAGAAACCAUUUUCAAAUUCCAUUCACAAACAGCUCGUUUUUGAGCAUGAAGAUACAAGUCCUGUCCUGUCUCCUGGAGAGAAACGAAACAGGACAGUGAUUUUCAAUCGAAUGGUGUUGCUCACUCAAGUGGAACUAGAAUGUGCAUUUGGUACCAAUGGAAAGCUGGGAAUGCCUAGUUUCAAAUGCCACCAACGGCACUCAAUGUUGACAUCGGAGUAAAGAGUUAUAGCCGAUACAAGAUGACUGCCUGGGCAAUACGGGAUUCAUUUUCCAGUUUUGCUAACUUUGGAAAUCAACUCAUUUAACCAACCAAAUCAUGUUAUUUUUCAAUGAAAUUUUGUACACACUCACAAUAACAUGUAAACAAUAUAAUCAAGUCAUUAGAACCUCAAAAUUGUGCACAAAAAUGGUCGGACAAGGCAGGGGUAAAACGGUCACUUUUGCUCCAAGCACCUCCUAUGAUUUUCUACCAACAAUACAACAUUAAUCCACUAAUUUAAGCACUAAACCACCAUUAAAUCCAUCAUCAAGCAUGAGAUCAGUCCUCAAGACAAAGGUGGGAGUUCAUAGAGCCCACCCAUUUCAUUUUACACCAUAAACAAGCUACCCAAAUACAAAUACUACCUUAUACAUGUAAGAUGAUCUUCAUAAAGUAAGAUUUAAGUGUUGGAUUAACACCUACUUGAUUAGAGGAUGAAGGCAGAAAUUUCGGCCCCUUAGAUGCUCAAGAAAACCAUGGAUAGCAGCUCCUUUUCUUAGCUCAAUGGGAUCUCUAAAUGUUUAGUUAAGUGUAGUUCGAAUUUGGAGUGAAUUGGAAGAGGUUUGAUGAAGAUUUGAUGAAGGAAAAAUGAAGAACUUGGUCUUGUUUUUCCUUGGAGUUGCACGGCUGGAAUGAAGAAGGAAAAGAAGAGUUGCACGGCUGUUUGAGGUGAUAAAGUGGAGGGUUUUUAUCUGGUGUGAUGCACCCAUGUGAAACUAAAAUGUGUGGCUCUCAUUGAUUCAAAGGUUAACUCUUUUUCCCGCGCGUUUCGUGUUCGAUUCCUCUCGAAUUUGUUUCACUGGUGCACUAAACCUCUAAUGCACUUAUAUUCAUAUAAAUAUUAUUCACUCUCAAUCGUCCCAAAAUAAGGGUCUAAAGUUCCUGAAUUUAAAUCGCGCGUGUGAAAACGCGUAUCUCCAAUUUAAGCGCGAUAACGCGAAACUUCCGAGAAAUUCUUAUAACGAUAGUACUAAUAACUAUCACUUGAGUAUUUAAACAUUAAAAUACCGAAUUUAGGUCCAUUGUACAUGUCUCCAAUAUUCCAAACUUAUUGUACUCUCAAGCGGAUAAAAUCUCCAAGCACUAUUCACUAUUUUUACUAAACGCGCUCCAGGAAAUUAAUUCGUGAAAUGAGUUACUUUAAAAAUAUAACGAAGUUAUAUUACCAUGCAUUUAGGUCUAAUAAGACUAGAAAAUAUUCCUCGAGGCAAAUAUCCAAUUAAAUAAUUUAUUAAGCCACAAAUUAGGCUUAAAAAUAAUAGUUUUUACGAGUCCUCACAAUCUAUCUGAAAUGUUACGAUUUUGUGCUUGGCAUAGUCUGGAUAGAGUGUAAAAAUGAGUUCUAUAUCAAUGAAUUGUGUGCUUCAACUAAUUUGAGUUUAAAAAUUUUCAAUUUUUACUAGUUAAUUAGUUAGCAUAUGAAUUAUUAGUUCUUACUUUUGUUGUUUAAAGUUAGCUACUAUUUUGCUUCUUUGUUUUGAAAUGUAAUUUAAUGGACACAUAAUUAGACGUGACUAAAAUAUGUUAGUAAUUGAAAAAAAAUUCUUCAAAUGUCCUAAAUCUAUUAGUAAAAUGGAUAUAUUAGGGACCAGAUUUGCUCUUGCAAAAAUUUUAGGGACCAAAACUACACAAUUAUGUUAUUAAUUAUAUUAUUAAAUAUAAAGAAUUGGAUUAUAACUAAAUUAUUAUAUUGUAUAUAUAUAUGUAUUAUAUAUGCAUCUAUGAAUUUAAAUAUAUACAUAUUUUCGUAUAUGGGGGAUGGGGUGGGUGUAUGUUACCCUGCCCCCCGCCCCGUUUUAAGGUAGGGGAAAAUUUUCUCCCCCAGCCCUGUCGCAUCCUCCUCCCUAUUUCUAUCCUCAUGGACACUUGCCCUUGUUGCCACCCUUAGCUUUAAGUACCCUUAUUUUUGAGUAAAUUAAACGUAACCUUCUAUGGUUCCACUAAUUGUCAUAUAACUACCAUAAUAUUUCAAAUAACCUCUAUAACAUCAUUAUUUCAAAUACUAAUAAUGUCCUUAUUUAAAUGAUAAAGCGAAUAAAUGUUUAACCACCUUGGAUAAAACCGCAAGAAAAUUAUGUGGAUAAACGUAAAAAAAUACAAUGAGGCAAAAUGCAUAUUUAUUUAAAUCAUAGAGGGUUAAUUGGAUUUUAUGAUUCCAUCACACAAGUUUUUGGGAGUGCAUUUGGUUUAAACACCUAACCAAUGGUGCAUUCCUUCCAUUUUCUACUUUACAUAAAAUUACAUGAAGGUUAUACAACUAUUAUGAAACUUUAGAGGUGUUAUGUGGCAUUGAAGAAAAUUAUAGGGGGAUUAUAUGUAAUUUAUUCUUUUUUUACAUGAAUUGUAGGUAUAUAAAUUAUUUUAAUGCUUUUUCGACAAAAUGAUAUAGAACUUUGGGGGGGGGGGGUUGGUCAAAUGAUGUUGUAAUCAAUAGAGAGAAAUUUGAGAAGGAAUAUGAGGGUCCAAAUCUUAUGUACUAGAAACUAGUUUCCUGAAUUUUAAAAAAGAAAGUUAAUUAGUGAUCCUCUCUUCAUAUUCUUUUUUUUUAAAUUUUUAACUCAAUAGAACUUAAAAUUUGCUAGCGCCAUACGUUAAUCAAACAAAUUGCAAAACCAAUCGUUCUUGAUUGCCCACAUGUUGUUAAACCUUAUCUCCAGCAUUCGUUCUUGAUUGCCCGCCUAAUUUACCUAGAUUUUGUCACCUUUAGAAGUGAAAAUAUAGUUUAUUAGUUUGAUUUUGACCUUUUACUAUUGACUAUUACUUUUAUUGAAAAAACUAAUAGUGAAAUUUUAACCUAAAUCAUGAGGAAGCUAUAUAUAGGUUUUUUUCAACCAUAUGAGAGUUAUGUGGUAAAGUACCAAAUCAUAGGGGAUAAAAUAUAAUUUACUUAACUUAAUAGGGAAAAUGUACUUUUCAUCCCCAUAUGAGAGUUAUGUGGUAAAGUACCAAACCAUAUGAGAGUUAUGUGGUAAAGUACCAAAUCAUAGGGGAUAAAAUGUAAUUUACUUAACUUAAUAGGGAAAAAUGCACUUUACAUCUCCAUUAUUUAGGAUGUUAGACAAUUUCAUUCCUAAAGUUUGAAUCAAAACACAUUUCAUCCUCAUAAUUUUAUAAUUUUGACCAAUUUCAUCCCUAAAAUUUCAUGCAAACACAUUUCAUCCUAAUAGUUUCAUAAAUUUGACUAAUUAAGGACAAUUGAUAGAUUGUCAAGUAAUUUGAAUGAAAUAUCAUCACAUGACCAUAGAGUACCGAAUAGUAAAGUACAAAAAAAAACACUGGAUCAACAAAAAAACUCAAAAAUUAUUUUAUAAUUCACUUUAUUAUUUAAAAAAUAAUAAAUUUUUAACCACUGUUACUCUCUUCUUAAUCACAAAUUGUACAAAAAGUUUGAGAGGAAAUGACGUCAUGGACAAGAAACAACCCUAUUAUAGCCAAUUGAAGAAAUUUUUCAAACAAUCCCAUUGCAACCAAUUGGAGAAAAAUAUUAACGUGAAAGAAAGAAUUUUUAGAUUGUCAUUUAUUAUGCAAAAUUUUGUUUUGUUGCAUCAUAUAUUUUGUUGGAGAAAAAUAUUAACGUGAAAGAAAGAAUUUUUAGAUUGUCAUUUAUUUUGCAAAUUUUUGUUUUGUUGCAUCAUAUACAUGUUUUUCAAAUUGUUUACCUAUCAUCUAAUCUAUUUUUUUUAUCUCACAUAUAUCAUAUCAUAAUUUUUUUUUAAAAAAAUCUCUUAUUUGAACACACUCAUUAUUAUUUAUGUAAUUUAAUAAAGGGUAAAUGUAACGACCCCACCUCCCCCUAAGGCGUACCAAAGGGUUCGGCGGACCGCCUGCCCAGCUCUCGCCAGGACUCACUCACUUACUACAUUCCACAAGUAAAUUACAAGGUACAACUCAAAUAAUACAUCCAAUUCUCCAAAAUUACAUAUCAUAAGCGAAGCGGAAACUAGUUCUAAGCAUAAAAUAUAGAUUUACAUCCGAUUCAAUUCCAAAUAUUUAUACAGCCCAAAAGUACAUAAACCAAAACCAAAACUAAACUAUACAAGAUGUACGCCAUCCAGCCACCCAAAGAUCCAAAUACAAGUUCUUCCUUUACCUCGAUCCCUGUGGGGAGAAGAAGAUAAUAGGGGGUGAGCUAGAAGCUCAGCGAGUGACCAGUAAAAUCAACAGCCAAGUAUAUUUCACAAUCAAGCAUUGAUAUGAUGUCAUGAUGCAGUAAUCAAAUGUUCAUUUAUUGCUCAUGUGAGCCAGUGAAAUUCUUGUGCUUAAAUAUCCAAUGCUCGUUUAGAUCAAGUAACCGUGAAACAGAAGUAAGGAGCCAUCGGGCUCCAAAGAAUGUGUAAACAAUAGUGGAGACAUUGGUUCUAAGCACAAGACUUUCCAGGAACUCAUUGGAGCCAAUUAUGUCAUGGCACACACCCGAACCCCAAAUGAUAUGCAAUGGAGUAAUAAAUGCAAGAAUUAGUUCAAAAGUAACUUUGGGGACAGUCGAGGGAUCACUCACUCAAACUAUAGUGCUUCACGUAGUCACGUUCAAUUAUACUCCAGGUUUGGAGUCCAGAUCUGCGAUAGAAAUCCAAUUUGAGAACUUUGAAACACGAGUAAGAUUUGAAACUUAAACGUUCCGUUCAUAAGAAUCAACCAAUUGAAAUUCAUUUGAAAGGCAUUCGUGAAACACUUGCUCGCUUUUCAAAUCAUAAGGUUUUUUUGUAGCAUAUAUACUUGGAAACAAUACUUGAGUUAAAAGUACAAGGAAAUACAAGUUUACAUUGGCCAUUAUAUCUUUUCCUCAAGAGUACAAGUUCGUUUAGGUUUUUAACGUAUAACCAUUGAUAACAAAGUAGCAAAAGUUCUCGCUAGUUCAAGUGGUAAUCACUUAACCUUCACUCAAGUUGCAAAUAUAGUUUUCUAGUUCUCGAGUAAAAAUUCGGCAGCAUGCCCUUUGUGUUUACCUAAUUUUCCAGCCAUUUAGGCUUCAUUAUUUUUCUCAACCAAAACCCAACAUCACAUAUAUCAGCAAUUCAUGACAAGAGCCGUUCCAUAGGCUCACAAUAUCAUAAUAAUAAGAUUCACAACGAUAGCAAGUGCAGAAAUUCAAUCUAGCACAAAACAGAUUUGACGUAUGAAAGCGGAAAUAACAUAUCCGAGGCUACGCUUAUCGGAUUGAGGUGCAACCUAUGCCGUUUCGAAGCUAAGACACAGGGCUACAAUGUUCAUGAAGGUCACUUAGUCCAGUUUCUAAUGUAACUUGGUCAAAUUCUCAAAAUACUAAACCAGAAACCAAUUCAUCGGCUGUUUAAACGCAGAACACUGUAAUGGUCAUAACUCAGUGUACACAAGUCCAAAUCAUGUGUUCUUAGAGGCAUUUUAAAGCUACUUCAGAACACUACAACUUUCAUGUUUUGGCCCAGAGCUAAAUCAGAAUGGAUCCUGGUCAAAAAUCGUGAUAAACUGGACCUAACUGCUGAAACGGACUGCUGGGAAAUACUUAAAACAGUAGGGGUAUUUUGGACUUUUCACGUCCUGCGUUGCUCCGAUUGAGCUGAAAUUUUGUAGGCACCUAUAAAAUGCCAUUCUCUACAACCUUUCUUCUUUGACCUAAGGCCAAAUCAGCCUCUAACACACAGAUAAAAAUUCGGACAGAAUGUGGAGAGAAUUUUCCAGAUUUUGGAAUUUUUGAGUUUCUAGUGAAUCUUUCCUUAAUUUCUUGGUCCAAUCACUACCAAAACACCAUAUAACACCUCAAUUGCAACAUAUAAACAUCAUACAAUCAUUUGGGCAGAAUUUCCACAAGCCCUAGUUCAUCAAAUAAAUUGGGGAAAACUACUAAAACAUGCUCAUCAUCCAUGAUCUCACCAUAAAAUCAAGUUACUAAGCUUAAUUAAACAAGAUUAGAAGUGAAACUUGGAGAGAUAAACUCUCUUACCUUGAAUAAAAGUCACCAAGAGUAGCACAAGCUCUCCCCUUCAAGAAUCACACCACAACUCACUAGCUAGUCACUAGAAAACAAGUUUAAUCGGUUUACUUCGCUCGAUUCCUCACUUAUUUGUUGGAUUUGGAGAUGAAAUGAAAGAUUUUCCCUUGGAGUUUCUCUUCUUGUUGUUCUCGGCCAGCAGCACCCAAAAUGAAGAAGAAAAAUGCUAAGUGUUGGAGUUAAAUGGUUGGGGUUAGUCUUGGGUAAGAAGCCAUGAGGUGGUGACAAGUGUCACCACCACCACCUUUCUUUUUUCUCUUUCCUUCUUGUUAUUUCUAGCCUCAUAAUUUCGGUCAAGGCUGCUACAAUAUAAGAAGAUAUUAUGUGCAAAAGUCAACAAACUUGUUGGGUAAGAAAAAUUGUGGUCAAGCAGUACGUUCAAUCGGUAAUGCGCGGGACCCGCCGGAUCGCGCCGUUUUUCUUAAAAACUCACGUACUAGGUUUUUCACUUCCCAUUCACAAACCUUAUAUCAUUGCCACUAGUCACAUCUUAUUUCUCACUUAAAAGUCACUUUUAAUCCCCAAAUUAAUUCUUACUUUGUACCGAAAAUUCAUUCGGCUAAAAAUCGCGAAAACCCUAAUUCCGCUCCAAACUUGAAACCGAAGCGUAAAACCCUAUUUUCUAGGUCUAUUUACACUUAGAGUGAAAUAUUUGGGUAGUGGCCUUUGAUAAAUAAUAAUUUUCAAAUAAAAGGGUAUUUUAGUACUUAUUGGGCCUUAUCGGAAAGCCUUAAAGAGUUGGCUCUUUAAGCUCUUUAUGCGGACCGAAUUUCUUCCAGAUUUAUUUGGGCCGGAUUCCUCACAAAACUCUAUUCACCAGAAAUUUUUCCUUUUCUUCUGCCUCGGGGCGUUACAGUAAAAUACAUAAAACCCCCAUGUGGUUAAGGAAAUUGAUACGAAACUUCCUCAUUAUUCAAAAACUCCCACAUAACCUCCUUGUGCUUUGGACUAAUUUGGAAAAUGGACGGAAAUCAUCCAAAUUGAUGGAAAGAUAUAAAUUUCCUAUAUUAACCCUAUUUACAAACUGAAUCAAAGUUUAACUCAAGUCUCAAUUAAAGUUUUAAAAACUUUCUUCCUUCAUUUGAAACAAAGGUAGAACUAAGGGGCUCAUUUGAAAUUUUAUAAGAUGUAUCAUCUUCUUCAAGGAAAUGUCAGAACGUUCUGGGCUUUGCGGUCAUUCCGGCUUCAUCCUACAUACCAUCUUCGAGCUUCCUAGCUUCGGAGCUAAGACGCCGCCAAAGAAACAGAGAUGGAUAUCUCGCGGCAUGCUCCUAGUUGCUCUUAGUAGAUAGCCAGGCUUUAUACUUCCCAACGACUUAUAUUGAUUCGUUCCCGGCCUUGAGAAAUGCCCCACCGUGCCUUAAGAAGGUCUGAUUCUUUGGCAGUUGAACAGGCAGGCGCCAGAUCCCGCCCAAGUGACAUAGAUUUAGCUAUUUUAGUGGGGUUCAUCCUUCUGUUUCCUCAAAUCAAGUUUACUCCGUCAAAUGGUUUGAUGCCCAAUUCUACUUUUUUUCUUGAAUUUGAAUCACUUCCUCUUUAUCGUCAUUCUUCUGUUUAACUGCGUUCUGGGCUUUGCGGUCAUUCCGGCUUCAUCCCACAUGCCAUCUUCGAGCUUCCUAGCUUCGGAGCUAAGACGGAGCCAGGGAACUCAACCCGUCCAUUGCCUUAUUUGAAGUGGAAUCAGCAGCAUAUUGGCAUCAAAGGCCUUCAUACCAUUCUCUUUGAAUGCUCUAGGCACUCAGCCUUUUAUACGGUGGAUCGGCUGAGGUCUAUCGGCCUCGCCUUGUUCACCAUCUUUGGAUUCCGGCACAGCAGCAUACUCGCUACUGUCUCUGCCGCCGAAUCAGAAUCGAUCUCUGAAGGAAUGGUACUUGUUGUUGUUGGCGUUGUUUUUCCCAAUCCCCUCUCCCUGGAGGGCCGCUAUUCUGCUUCUUUGCAUUCACGAUCAAUUGGUGUUACGUUGGGAUCAAUUGAUCGAGAACUUUUUGUCAAUUUUUGAGACUAUUAGAUUGAGAAUUUUUAUUGUUAUUUUGUGCUCUAUCUAAUUGGAAAAUUUUUGGUGUUAUUUUGGGAUCAUUGAGUGUUGAAAGAUUGGUGGUAGAGUUGCUGGUGAUUGGUGGUGAUGGUGGAGCUACUGGUGAUCAGUGGCGGUACUGAUGAUGAUUGGUGUUCACUGGAGUCGUUGACCAUUUUGGUGUUAUUGACCAGUUUGGUUGCGAGCAGGAAAGAAACGGAGAAGGAAAAUAAACAAAAAAAAAAUUGACAAAACACUGCAAAAUACUAAAUUGUCCUUGACAAUAUCACUUGAAACUCCCUUAAUAGACGAGCUUAUCUCAAACGCCGUUAAUUUGGAUGAUUUCCGUCCAUUUUCCAAAUUAGUCCAAAGCACAAGGAGGUUAUGUGGGAGUUUUUGAAUAAUGAGGAAGUUUCGUGUCAAUUUCCUUAACUACAGGGGGGUUUUAUGUAUUUUACCCUUUAAUAAAUAACCGAAUUAGGUAUUAACAAUACAAUUAUUAACGGGACAUGUUAGUCAUGUGAUGAUAUUCUGCUUAAAUUGGUUAAAAAUCAUUCAAUUGUCCUAAAUUGAUCAAAUUUAUGAAAAUAUGAGGAUGAAAUGUAUUUGCAUGAAAUUGAUUAAAAUUAUAAAAUUACAAGGAUAAAAUGUGUUUGGACUGAAAUUGUUCAACACCCCAAACAUUGGGGAUGGAAAGCGCAUUUUACCCUAACUGAAUAUUAGCUAGCCCUUACAUUGGUAGAGCAAAUGGGUCAGUGGUUGCUCUUGACCGCCAACAUACUUUUUUUUUUCAUUAAGUGUAAGCGGGAGAAUUCGAAUCCGAAACUUCUCGUUUACACUCCCUCCCCCCGUACCACCCAAUCCAACCCACCCCCACGUAGAUCAUCUACACUUUUGCUCCUAAUUGCCAGCAUAAACCAUAUCUUUUGAUUUUCCAAUAAAUACUGCAAAAGAAAAAAAGAAAAAAUGACGUGUCCUUGUAUACUACUAGAAGAUUAUUGAUUGUGCGCCCAGAUUUGUCUAGUUUAGGAAAAAAAAAUUAGAGUGAAUUGAAUCGAAUUCAAAUUUUGUGCUUAGUGAUAAUUCCUAAAAGAGAACGAAAUAUAGAUUUUGAGUGUAAAAAUAUUUUAAGAAAUAGUGAUACAUAUUGUAAGUUUAUUAGCACAAAGUAAUUAUAAUACUCAAUGAUGAAUGAUCAGCAGAUUUGGGAAGGAAAGAGCAGAUUGGGGGAUAUUUGAUCAACAUAUCCAACAUUCGCUACAUUUACCAAACAAACCAUAUUAAUAUAGGUUUACAUAUUAUCUCUUAUCAAAAUUUAAAAUUGAUCGUUUGCUAAAUAAAGAUUAAGACACAAAAAGAUAAAGAGUAAUACUAUACAGUACAUUAACAAAAUCAAGCAUUAUACACAAUACAUACAAUAAAUAAGGAGGUAAGACACAGAAGAUGAUUAACUUCUCUCACCGUCACGGAUGUCGAAGGGGAAAAAAUUUACUAAUAAAAAAUAAAAAACAAAAGCAGUUUUGUCCACAACAGAGAGGGUGCAAACCAGAGAAAGGGGAAUGAUUUAUGUUUUCUUCUUCUUCUUCCCCCAUAGCUGGCGCUCUCUCCAUUCCCCAUCAUCUGUAUAGCAACCAAUGACAAUUUCAGGAAUGUGUGCGAUUCUUCUGUAAUCUUCACUUUCUUCCUUCUGAUUCUCUACCUUUUCUAUCAUUUCAGAACUCAUCUCAUACAAAUACAGCCCUUGAAGAUGGCUCAAGUGCUGAAUACCCAAAGGUAACUCAUCUAGUAAUGGAAGUUGUUCCAGAAUGAGUUCAUGGAGACGAGGCAAUGCACCCUCCUCCACUCUCAUCCAUCUCAACCCUUCCAUUCUCUUUAGGUGCAACUUCUUCAGAUUGAGGAACCCUCCAGCUUGGAAACACAACCCUUCUCCCUGGUAAGAUCCACAGAAAUUAAUUUUACCCAAAUUCGGCAAAUGUCGGAGGGAUUCAAGCGUAUCCUCAUCACCCCUUAACCUGCUCCAAUUCAAAUCUAUUCUUACCAAGCCGUGAAGAUGAGCUACCCAUUGUGGCAUCUUUUCUAAGCGGCUACACAAAAUCAGCAGAUGAAGAGAUUGAAGAAAAGAAGAAGAAGAAAAGGAAGAAGGAUGAUGAUGAUUUAGAUCGAUUAUCUCAUGAUCAUGAUCACCUUCUCCAAUUGAUUCAAUGCUUAAUCUAUGGAGACUGGUGAGGUUGGCAAGGGAGGAGCAGAGCUCCUUUCCAUCUUCUCUUCUUAACUUUGUAAUACCUAAUUCUCUUAAUUGGGUCAGCUUUCCUAUCUCCUUGACUACUGCAGAUCCACUACCAGCAUCUAUGUUAUCCAAUAUUUCUAGGGCAAGAAGCGCUCCCAUAUUCGAGGGAGCUUUAAAUCCAUGAAAUCCAUAAUCAUCAUCGGAAGAAUCAACUUGUUGAUAUACUUUGAGAACCCGAAAUUUUUGCAGCUUUAGGAUUUCCAUGGGUAAUUCCCUAACUCUUGUGUCAGCCAAAUUCAGAUACUCCAAAUGUUGAAGCUUGCCAAUGGCUUUCGGGACUCUCUCCACUCUCGUACCCCCUAGGUGUAGAUACUUGAGAUGAAACAUCUUGAAAAUCUCAUUUGGUAUUUCCUCCUGGGUCUCUUGACCACCCAAAUCCAAAACCUUUAACAGCUUACUACUCCUUAAAACAUCAGAUAACAACAGUUUGAAUAGUAGCGGGCUCAUGGAUCCAAAUGUAACGAACGACUGAAGGUGGUCAAAGCAGUAGCUUCUUCUUUGUUGGUGGUCCUCCUGGGUGUUGUUACUACUACUAGUAUGGAGUACUAGACGGCGUACCUUGUCGGACGGCCGCAUCAUUGGUUGUCCAGUAGUAAUUGUGACCAUGUUUUGUUCCCUUGACUUGAGAACAAUAACUUCUCUCAACAGGUCAUGGAUUCGACAAUUGUCGGGUAAUCCUUCAUAAUACACCUUAGUCACUUGAAUUAGGCUUCGAUUGACGAGUUCACUAAGACAACCCCAGGCUACAUCUUCAAUACUCAUUCCUUCUCUCCAUUCUACGAACCUUUCAGCAAUCCACAAAUUAAUGAGUCUAUAGCAUUGUAUUUCGUAAUCCUUUGGGAAGAUACUUGUGUACAACAGACACGUCUUUAAAUGCCCAGGCAAAUCAUUAUAACUGAGAGAAAGUAUCCUUUUAACUCUGUCCAGCUUACCAGUGCCUUCUAAUUCACCCCCAAGACUGCGUUGAACCAUCUCCCAUUCCUCUAUUCUGUUUACAUCUUUCAAAGCCAAAAACCCACUGAUUGCAAGAAUUGCAAGGGGCAAGCCCUCACAUUUUUCCAGUAUACCUUUGGCAACAUCCGUCAAAUGGCCAGGGCAACUAUUUCCCUUAAAGAUCUUGUUACAAAACAGGGUCCACGAAUCUUCAAAGGACAGUGGCUCCAUUCUGUGGAUGUAGCCUAGAGAUUCUGUACAAGAGGCAAAGGCUACAUCAACUUUUCGAGUUGUUAGCAUGACACGGUUGCCGUGGCUGCUCUUGGGCAGCGCAAAUUUGAUGGUAUUCCAAAAUUCCACGUCCCAUACAUCAUCAAAAACAAUUGCAUACCUUCCAGCUUGUUGAAGAAAAUCUUUGACAAAUUCUUUCAGCUCGGUGAUAUUCAAAGACUCGAUCGAUUGUGGGACUGGUUUCCUCCCUUCCUUGUGCAAGUGCCGAAUCAAGUCUUUCAGGAGGUACUGAAAGUCACAUGUUUGAGAGACAGUUACCCAAGCACGAGCUGGGAAAUGCCUUCUGACUUCAAGAUCCUCAUGGACUUUUUUCACUAGGGUAGUUUUUCCAAGUCCUCCCAUACCAACCACUGAAACAACUUUUAGUUGGUAAUCAUCCCCUUGGAGGAGCUGAGAAAUUAGAUGUUUCUUGGGCUGGUCAAUGCCAACUAAUUUAGCUUCUUCCACAAGCAGUGCGUCAUCUCUGCUAUAGCGCCAGGUUGUGUUGUUCACAGCAGAAAGUGAGUUGGUCACUUGGGCACAGAUACCAUAUUCGGAUUGGUAUCUUUGAUGACCUUCAGAAAUACUUUCGAUUCUGGACUUGAUGCUUUGUAUUUCGCUGGCAACUCGAUGACGAGCUCUCAAAUUCUUGAUGGAGCUGAAAAUUCUCCGAACAGAGCCGUAGAAUCCUGUUGUGCGAUGCCGGGCAAAGCGAGCUACAAAUUCAUCAAGAAUGUCUUCAGUGUCAUAAGCUGCUUCUAGCACUUGCUUGAUCCAUUCUUGGAGCUGUUGAAUUCAAAGUCUUGAAUUCUUCAAGCCUUAAUUGUUGACUUUUCUAAGGCCAACAAUUGUUGAAUUUGGUGGCCUAAUAUCUGUCCUACAUCGGUGGGAUUAUUGGAAGAACCUUAGCUUGAGAGCUAUAAAUAGCUCUCAAGUCCUUCCAAUUAAAUUGUACCAAGAACAACAAAGAAUUACCCAUAAGGAUUUUGUAAUUCUUUGUAUUCUUUCUUCUCUCCUAAAUUAUAAAAGCAGGUCACUUGAGUGGUGCUCGGAGAGUAGGCAAAAUUGGCCGAACUCCAUUAUCAAUUUUUCGGGUGCGUUCUUUCCUUAUCUCUUUUAUUUGUUCCGCAUUAUUUAUUAGUCUCUUUUCUAUUGUAGUAUAGUAUUCAAUAUAUUUGUCGGGUAUAUUUGUAGUGUUUUAUACGGUUCAUUUGGGUGUAUUUUUCUUAUUCGUGUGUACGUAUUAUUUAUGUAUACACGGGUAUAGUUGUGAUAAUACACCGUGCACGUAAGUUCUGUCUAGGAGACUGGGUUUUAAGUGGGACCGCUUGUGACCCCUCCAGCCUUUCCUGGAAAUUUACUUGGAAUGGUAAUUCUGUCUUAGGAGAUUGUUUCGACGAUCUUUCCUGAGAAUUACUGAAUCGGUUUAAUCACUAGUUGUAUUUUUGAGUGGGAAAUUACCCGAUUUCCCCAACAAGCCUGGGUUGAGCAUCUUCUUCUUUUGCUUCUGCCUCUCUCAGGAAAGCUCUCAUGUGCCCCAACUCAUCCAUGAUGAAUUGCACCUCUUGCCGAAGCCCUCCCAAUAGUCGUCCCUCCUCGCGCAGAAAAGUUGAGAGUUGACGCAGCACAAAAGAGAGAACUGUUUCUGCCAUUUUCAGUCUUUCUUUCUAACUUAAGAAUGUUGGGGAAGGCGGCUUCUGGUUUAUAGGACAGUCCACUUCUUGUAUCUUGAAAGGAAGAAGGAAGAGUAGGUUAUAGAUUCAUAAGCUGAUGAACUUUGAUACUAUAUGGUGCAGUAUACAUCACAAACAAAAACCGCGUCAAACAGAAAAAGAAAGAAUUAACCAAUUAGAAGAAACUAAAGCAAGAAACAGGAUGGAAAUUGAAGACAAGAAGAUAGGCAGCAAGGUGAGUUUGAAAGACGAAGCUGCCUUACCUGCUUACAAUACAAAAUCGUUGAAGCUAUUAAGAAGAUCAGCCUUCAGCUUCAGGACCUUCUUUCAACUGUGGGUCCUUCGGUAGGAUAAAGAUGAAGAGUGACUACCGCAGCAUCGUGCAAAGGCAAUGAUGUCGAAUUAUUUAACAAGGGAAGGAAUAAAGCAAUGGUGUCUGACCAAGUUUUCGGUAUGGACAUGAACGCGUUUUUUAUGUAGUUAAUAAAGAGGAGAGAGCACAAGAGAAUGAGAUCUACUUUAAAUAAAGAAAACCCCAAAAUGAAAAUGACAGUUCUGACUGAAAUGGAAGCCAGCUAUGAGUUUUCCCGGAACAUGUGAUGCAGAGGAAGGAGUUGAACAGAAAAGGCAACUCAAGACCUAAGUUCAAUUGACUAGCAAUAGCAAUAACUUACAGUUAAAGUGCAAUUGUUCAAUCAUAUCUUCAUUUUUGGUGAAGAAUGGGAAGGUGGAUACAUAGGUGAGAGCCAAAAACCCCAUUUUGGAAACCGGAAAUAAAUUACUUUAGUCAUUCAAUAAGAAGUAGGUCUAGAAUUACAAGAGAACUAUCUAAAUACUGCAUAUCAUUUCUUUUUUUUUUUUCCCCCUUUGAUUAUACUCAGUUUUUCUUUUGGCAAAACCCCAAGUUGGGGGAGGGAACUCAGUUAUAUAAACAUAGUUAUACAUAUUUUAAAAUUCAUAGUAAAAGUUCACAUGAAGUGUACAAAUUCACUCAAAACUAUGGGUUAUAAAAACAAACAUUAAAUGUGCAUUUUCAUAUUCUUUCAUGAGUAUACGUGAUUUUUUUAAUUUGAAUCACUGAUUUUGCGCACAUAAUCUUAAUUUUAUUAGUCUGUGAACAUUAGGUGGUUGGCCUGUCCUUCCGCUCUCACGAUGUGCUGAUAAAAAGAUGAAUAUGCUGUGACUGAUGAUGUUUCAACUACACCUCUCUCAGUUUGUGUUUUCUAAUUUUAAAAAUUUUUAAUUGAUAUAUCAAGUAAAGAUUUUCUUUUUCCUUUUUUUCCCCUGGCUUUCUAGACAAGGUUGAAUGUGAAGAAAGAAGUGAGAAUGAAAAUAUUGGAGAUGGAUAAAAUUAAAUGCUCAGCAUAAGACAAUUGAGGUAACGUUUAAGUGUUUAACUACUGAGCCAAAUCUCAUCACCACCAUCUUAUCAUGUCUAAUUAGUCUUUUAGUUCCUUGUAAUGUUAAAAAAAAAAAAAUGGAACCAAAUGGGAGCAUGGAAUCUGUCCUUUUGCAGGAAUAAUUAAUUUGUGGGAAAAUCUUGCUGCAUAUCUGCAUGUACUAAAUAAAUAUUGACUAUAGUAAGCGAGAGUGUAUCCUUGUAAAGAAGAUUUUUAUGUAGGGAUACGAAAAAAGAGAAAUUUGAAACAUGUGGUUGGAUUGGUUUUUCCUGAGUUUAAAGAGUCAUAGGCUAAAAAAGUAGUAGUAAUUCAAUUCUUUUUUCAAAUCCUAGUUCAAAGCCAUAAUUAACUAUUGUACAGUCAUAAUUUGGAAUCAAAUGUGAUCAGGUGCAUUAUUCGAGCUACUGUACGUAUGUGAAACAAAAGAAGAAAUAAAGUCACAAAGUUUUCCUAGUGAUCAAUAGUACGUACUACUGCUUCCUAGAAACAACAUAAGAAAGGAGAUAGAGAGAGACACUAUCGAUAUAUAAAGUUCUGUCAAUAUUUGUCAUUUAUAUAUAUAUAUUUUUACUAUAGAUGAAUUGUUAAAGCCAUGUGGGAAAAUUAAGAAUGGAAUUACACUAAUGUGUUUCAUUCCAAAGCUAAUUGUAUUGUCAGAAAUUAAAUAAUUCUAUUUCAUAAUUUAAAAUAAAAUUUGAUGCAAUAAAAAUUCUUUUUUUGAAUAUGAGACCUUGAUUAUGACAAUACAUGAAUACCCUCAAUGAUAUUAGAAAGUGCAUUCAAAUUUAGGGACUGACAUAGUCCUAAUUAUUUUGUAAGAAGAGUAAUCUUGAAAAGAAAUAACUUAACACUCAACCAUCAAUACAAGCUCACUCUUUUAGCAAAGACUAGUUGGGACGGCCUGCGCGUUGCGCAGGAGGGCGAAUAUUUCCCGUGUUAAGUUGCACAAGUUUUAGUUAUUGUAUAUUUGUUGUAGUAUAGAGAAUUAUAUAGGUGGUAUAAGUUUGGCUUGAAUUAUAAAAUAAUAGUGCGGUAAAUUGGUUGGGUGAAUAUAGUGUUAAUAGUUUGUGAAGUAUGAAGGAUAUUUUGUAAUAUAAUGGUUAAUAAAGUACUAUAAUUGAGACAAUGCAGUGUCAACAUUUUGUGUGGUAUGAUUUGUAUAAAUUAUGUGGUUUGGGUGAGAUAAUUAUAAAGAUACCCAUUUAUAUUUAUGUAUAUCUCUAUUACUCACUAAGUUCCAUAAAUAUGGGCCUAUUUCUUUUUUUUUUUGCACAAAUUAAAACAUUUAAUCAAUAUAAUCACAAGAAUUGCUUUUCUUUCAUUUUUUUGUAUAAUGUCACUCACUAAUAUUAGAUCAUUAAUCCACAUUAAGAGCCAUGUAUUAUUACAUUGUUUUUGAAAUUUACAAUACUUUAAUUUUUUUAAUGUAAGAAACAAUGUAAUUAAUGUUGCAUGUUUGACUAAAAGAAUAAUAAAAAAAUAGCAUACAACAUUGCUUUUCAAUUUAGAGUAAUUUAGAGCCAUUAGGAAAAAUGAAUAUAUACACAUUAAAUUUAGAGCCAUUAGGAAACAUUUUACAAUAAUUAUAUAUAUACAUUAAAUAUGGAUAUUUAUCUAACAAUAUAAAAGCGAGAGUUGCCCCAUGAACAAUAUUUUUUUGUCAAGCGGUUAUCCUGCAAUUGUUAUUGGAUGCCCGGACUAUUAGUAAAUAACAUAUUAAUUAUUCUUUUCUAUAGAACGAAAAAUAAGAAUAAAAACAAGGGCAUUAAAAAUUUGUAAUAAUUAUAUAGAGUAAUACGGAUAUAUAGACUAAUAUAUCUUUAUAAUUGUAUGUUUUAAAAAAUAGUAGGAUUAGAAACCAUUUUUAGUCCAUGACACCUUAACCGAUUUUGGUUAAUUGUGAUAACAAUGUUGGACGUCAUUUUUUUUUUUUUACUGCUGUUCAACUUUUGGGAAUCAUUCAGUCAAAAGCUACUACUGAACAUGCUAAACAAUCACUGUAUUCAACAAUUUUACAGAGCACUAUUUUAUUUCUUUUUUUGCAAUAUAUGCAUUCAUUUUUUUCCAAACAAUUUUUAUUUCAUGUCGUACUAAUAAAAUCUAUUUUUUAAAGUCAUUAAAGCCAAUAAUAAUUUAUUAAUUAUUUCCUCAAUAAUUGUGUAAUUACAGAACACUCAACAUUAAUUAGAUUGUUUCUUACAUUAAAAAAAUAAAGUACUGUAAAUUUCAAAAAUAAUGUAAUAAUACAUGGCUCUUAAUGUUGAUUAAUGAUCUAAUAUUAUUGAGCGGCAUUUUACAAAAAUAUGAAAGAAAAAUAAUUGUUGUGAUUCUAUUGAUUAAAUGUUUUAAUCUGUGCAAAAAAAAAAGAAGGAAAAAACCAACAAAUACAGUGAUUAUCAAGAAUAAGAAACAGAUAGAAAUGCGUGAAACCUCAGAAUAAAAUUAGAAAAAAUAUAUUAAUCCAACUUGAUUAUCAAUUUUUAUUUUUAGCCCAGAUUAUUUGUAUGAUUCUUGAGCUUUAUCUGACUGAAUUAGAGAAAAUCUAUACAAGUUCAGAAGCUUAACUGCUGCGACCCUUUAUUGCUCUUCGUAUAGAUACAUAGAAAGUUAUGCCUUUGCCUUUCUUUUUUUUCGUUAUUAUGCUUUGGUUUUCAGCUGAGAUUUCAUCACCGUAGCAUUUGACCAGAAGGAUGACUGGAGGCUUCUCAAUGACCAAAAGACCAAAACGCCCCUCAAAGUCACAAAAAUAGCAACAUAACCGCUUGACCAAAAUUCACUAUUCAUUUGGCAACUCUCUCUUUUAUUAUAUAACUAGUUGGGAUGGCCUGCGCGUUGCGCAGGAGGGCGAAUAUUUCCCGUGUUAAGUUGCACAAUUUUUAGUUAUUGUAUAUUUGUUGUAGUGUAGAGAAUUAUAUAGGUGGUAUAAGUUUGGCUUGAAUUAGUUCAGAUAAUAUAGUGUUGAUAUUUUGUAUGAUAUGAUUAGUAUAGAUUAUGUGGUGUGGGUUAAGUAGUUGAACUCACUAAGUUCCAUAAAUAUGGGCCUAUUUCCUUUUUUUUUUGCAAAAAUUAAAACAUUUCAUUAAUAUAAUCACAAGAAUUAUUUUUCUUUCAUAUUUUUGUAUAAUGUCGCUCACUAAUAUUAGAUCAUUAAUCCACAUUAAGAGCCAUGUAUUAUACAUUGUUUUUGAAAUUUACAAACUUUAAUUUUUUUAAUGUAAGAAACAAUGUAAUUAAUGUUGCAUGUUUGACUAAAAGAAUAAUGAAAAAAUAGCAUACAACAUUGCUUUUCAAUUUAGAGUAAUUUAGAGCCAUUAGGAAAAAUGAAUAUGUACACAUUAAAUUUAGAGCCAUUAGGAAACAUUUUAUAAUAAUUAUAUAUAUACAUUAAAUAUGGAUAUUUAUCUAACAAUAUAAAAGUGAGAGUUGCCCCAUGAACAAUAUUUUUUUGUCAAGCAGUUAUCCUACAAUUGUUAUUGGAUGCCCGAGCUAUUAGUAAAUAACAUACUAAUUAUUCUUUUUUAUAGAACAAAAAAUAAGAAUAAAAACAAGGGCAUUAAAAAUUUGUAAUAAUUAUAUAGAGUAAUAUGGAUAUAUAGACUAAUACAUUUUUAUAAUUGUAUGUUUUAAAAAGUAGUAGGAUUAGAAAUCAUUUUUAGUCCAUGACACCUUAACCGAUUUUGGUUAAUUGUGAUAACAAUGUUGGACAUCUUUUCUUUUUUUUUUUUUUUUACUGCUGUUCAACUUUUGGGAAUCAUUCAGUCAAAAGCUACAACUGAACAUGCUAAACAAUUACUGCAUUCAACAAUUUUACAGAGCACUAUUUUAUUUCAUUUUUUUUUUUGCAAUAUAUGCAUUCAUUUUUUUCCAAAUAAUUUUAUUUCAUGUCGUAGUAAUAAAAUCCAUUUUUUAAAGUCACUAAAGCCAAUAAUAAUUUAUUAAUUAUUUCCUCAAUAAUUGUGUAUUUACAAAACACUCAAUAUUAUUUAGAUUGUUUCUUACAUUAAAAAAAUUAAAGUAGUGUAAAUUUCAAAAACAAUGUAAUAAUACAUGGCUCUUAAUGUAGAUUAAUGAUCUAAUAUUAGUAAGCAGCAUUUACAAAAAUAUGAAAGAAAAAUAAUUAUUGUGAUUAUAUUGAUUAAAUAUUUUAAUUUGUGCAAAAAAAAAAAGGAAAAAACCAACAAAUACAAAAGCCAACAAAUUUGCCCUCAAAGUUGCCCAAAAUUAUCUUAUAAGCGCUUGACAAAAAAUUCACUAUUCAUAAGCCAACUCCCUCCGAAAAAUAAUUGUUGUGAUUAUAUUGAUUAAAUGUUUAAAUUUGUGCAAAAAAAAAAGGGAAAAAGCCAACAAAAGCAAACAAAUACAAGAGCCAACAAAUUUGCCCUCAAAAUUGCCCAAAAUUACGCUAUAACCGCUUGACCAAAAAGCACUAUUCAUCCUCCAACUCCCGCUUUUAUUAUAUAGAUAUUGAUUAAAUGUUUAAAUUUGUGCAAAAAAAAAAAAGGAAAAAGCCAACAAAAGCAAACAAAUACAAGAGCCAACAAAUUUGCCCUCAAAGUUGCCCAAAAUUACGUUAUAACCGCUUGACCAAAAUUGCACUGUUCAUCCUCCAACUCCCGCUUUUAUUAUAUAGACUAGUGAGACGGCCUGCGCGUUGCGCAGGAGGACUAAUAUUUCCCGUGUUAAUUGUUUUUUGUUGUAUGAGUUUAUUAGUAUAUAUCUCUGUUAUUAUUUAAUUCAUGCGGAUCAUUAGGGAAUUAUAAUUUUUGUUAAAAGUUAACUAUUAUGAAAUAUAUAGAAUGCAUGAGACCAAUAAUAUAUAGAAUGCAUAAGGAUAAAUUAGAAAAUUGUAUAAGGUUAUUUUACAUUUGGAUCAGGAUAAUUAGAAAAUUGUAAAGUGAAUCAUUUCCAAAGAGUAUUAAUCAUUAUUGACACAAAAAAUAGGGGAUCUUGAAAAUCAAUUAAACACUUGAACCAUAGAACUUGACACUGCUAAAAAUUAAUCACCACAUGUCACAAUAAUAAAACCCAUUUUUUAAAGUUACUAAAGCCAACAAUAGUUUAUUAAUUGUUUCCUCAAUAAUUGUGCAUUUAUAGAACACUUAACAAAUUUAUUCUAUGUUAACCCAACAAUAAUUUAUUAAUUGUUUCCUCAAUAAUUGUGCAUUUACAGAACAUGUAUCAAUUUUAUUUCAUGUCACAGUAAUAAAAGCCAUUUUUAAAGUCACUAAAGCCAACAACAAUUUAUCAAUUAUUCCCUUGGUAAUUUUGCAUUUCCAGAACACUUCAAAAGCAAAUAAUUAACCACAAAAAAUCAACUUUCAUAGGUUUCACUUUUUAUACCACCAAUUAUGAAUUCAGUCAACAUGUCCAAUAAAUACAUCAAAACUAUAGCAGCUGUUAAAAAACAAACAAAUAAUUGAUGAAAAUAGCCCUAACAUCCAAUAACAAUUGCAGGAUAACCGCUUGACAAAAAAAACCACUGUGCAUAGGGCAACUUUUCCUUUAUAUUGUUAGAUAUGUAUAUCUCUAUUACUCACUAAUUUCAAUAAAUAUAGGCCUAUUUCUUUUUCCAUUAAUAUUAGAUCAUUAAUCCACAGUAAAAGACGUGUAUUAUUACAUUAUUUUUCAAAUUUCGAGUACUUUAAUUUUCAAAUGUAAGAAAUAGUCUAAUUAAUGUUACAUGUUUAAAUAAAUAAUAUAAAAAGAUCAGCACACAAUAUCGCUUUUCAAUUUACAGCAAUUUAGAGCCAUUAGAGAAAACAAAUAUGUUAAAAAAUUUUAUAAUAAUUAUAUAUACACUAAACAUGGAUAUAUUAGUAAAAUAACAAACUAAUUAUUCUUUUAAAAAGGAAAUAGACUCAUAAUGUAGCACACAUAGAAGACAAAAGUAAGCUCAUGUUUAUAGAAUAUAUAUAUAUAUAUAGAAUGAAAAGUAUAAUAAUAAAAAUAAGGGAAUUAAAAUUUUUCCAAUAAUUAUAUAAACUAAAUAUGUAUAUAUAGACUAAUAUAUAUCCUUCUAAUUGUAUGUUUGAAAAAGCUAUAGAAUUAGAAACCAUUUUUAGUUGAAACGUAUAUGGCAUCUUAACCAAUUUUGCUUACUUAUAUGACGAUAAUGUUGGACUUGUUUUUUUUUCCCUCUAGCUCAAGAAUUACAGCAUAAUCGCUUGACCAAAAUGGAGCUAUUCAUUAUCCAAUUCUCCCUUUUAUAUAUUUAGAUUAGAUAUAUAUAUAUUGGAGAGCCUGAUAGAGAUUUUCUUCUUUUUUUUUUCUUUUUUUUAUGGUUUUCUUGGUGAGGCGGCCCGGGGUGGGUUGUAUUGGAGAAGAUAAAAGGGCAUAUGGCAGAGCUCUAAAACAAGGCCUGCAGCAUUACUUACAAUAGAGAGCGUACAGGUACAGCUCUCUUUUGUGAGUCCUAGCCCGUGUAGCCCACAUAGCACAAUAAUACAGCUAACAAGCCUCAGUCACAGCCAGACCUUUUUAUUGCCACUGGCCAUUUGGUCUAGUGGUCAUCACCAUUAAAGGUGAUGCUGGAGGUCAGGGGUUCAAUCCCUGCCUCCCACAAAUUUGUCACAAUUUGUGGCGGUCUUAAUUGACCUUCAUCGAUGGAGUCUGUACUCACAUCGAACCCCCUCCCUUUCCCCUUAGACUAGGCUAGAUUAGGUUAUAGGACAUCUAUCGUUUCGAUAAAAAAAAAAACAGCCAGACCUUUUUAUUGAAAUAUAAUGCCAAGAGCCAUCUUAAUAAUUGUUAAUGUCUUUUUCCAGCAAAAGAGAAUCAAUGAAAUAGCCAGCUUAACCGAUUCUUCCUAAAGCCAGAGCCAGCCACAUGACAAAAGACCAAAAUGCCGCUUGACAAUUGCCCUCAAAGUUGCCCAAAAUUACGUGAUAACCGCUUGACCAAAAUUGCACUGUUCAUUAUCCAACUCCCGUUUUUAUAUAGUUAGAUAUAGAUAUAUAUUAGAUACAGAUAUUAAUAAAAGUCAAGAUAUAUUGAUGAAUCUUUGUAAUUAAUAAUGAACACGAUGUUGACAAAAAAAAGUCAAUGGCAGUAGGCAGAAAAGCAGGCAUCAAUGUGCACCAUGUUGAAGGUAACCAUGGUAUAGAUAUAGAUAUUUGUAAUUAACAAGGUAUACCGUGUUGAUCAAUAAAAGUCAACGGCGGGUAAUCACAGAGGAGCUAGAAACCAAAAUGAAAUGAAGGAGAUCAGUAAAUUAAUCACAAGAUGCCCUGAACUUAUAAGGAAGACAAUUAGUGCAAUAAUACACCAUAUUUUAUAGAUGGGAAUCUGCAAGUGGUGGAGUCGGGUAAGAAAAAUUAAGACUCUGCUGAUGCAAUUGUUGGGCUCCAAGCUUCAAAAUAAUGCACUGAUGAGAAUAAUGAGUUGGAGCCAGCAAAAUGAAUUCGAUCAUUUGCAGUAUGAUUAUUGUGGUUAUUUAUUAGUGUGAACACGCGUGAUUGGAAUGAGCAUUUGUUUAUUUAUGCAGAAAAAGUGAUAUUGUUAACGUUAUUUUUUCUAAAUAGCAGCUCGCACAACUAAUUCUAAUGCUUCGCCCAAAUUAAAAAAUAGCUUUUCACUAUUUUAGCAUAGAUAUAGAUAUAGAUACUUGCAAUGCUUUUUCGGCUAAAAUGAGGUUGUACUUUAUUACUCUUAUUAUUAUGUUUUUCUUUUGGUCAAAUGAUGUCGUACUCAAAUAGAGAGGAAUUUGCCAAGGAAUAUAAGGGUUUGAAGAAGCACGGGACUUCCCCUGACCGAGCUGACCUGGUGAGCUCGGUGUGCCGAUGGAAGAGCUGGUCCCAAUCCUGCAAAACAAACAAGGGUAAACUAGCAGUGGGGGCCCGAGGGUUGUCCCCGAGGGCGCUCCGACGGUCAAAUUAGUUCCUGGCCGGCGGACGGAGCGGUUUUUGAUAAUGUAUUGUACGAGCAAUCUGCUAAUAGCGAGCGUCCCUUGCACAGUUGGUAUGUGCUACCAUUUAUACCCGCUUAGGAGUCCGACCUCCGUACGUUUCGGGACUUGCCCUGAAUAGCUCCCAAUCCCGUUCCUGGGGGGAUCCUCCCGCCCUCUGCGGGGCAGCUCUUGGGAGCAUCCCGGAGCCCUAAUGGCCGAGCCCUCUUGGACUGGUUCCCAGUGGGCCCAAGGCGCGAGCCCAGCUCGGAUUGCCCCUGGGCUGACACGUGUACGGGCCCAGGAUGGGGCCUCUGCACUAGCCCCCUAGAUUAGGUCAGGCUCCCGGGCAGACCUGGUCUAUCCCCUAGCCACGUGGAAGCCCAUCAUUACACUGCUCUGCCGCGGUCACCUCCAGCACAGGGCUGUUAUUGGGAAGCGUCGCCCGCGUACUUUCAAUGGUCGCGUCCCUUCGGUUUCCGUACCUCCCUUAAGUGCGUUCACAUGGGGCGGUUCAAAUUCAAGCAAACCGUUUCCCCCCAUUUCGUCCCCUAUAAAUAGUGGCUGCCAAAAUCCGGUAAACUCUAUUUGCCAUUUUCUCUUUCCCCAUGCGUUUACAACUUCAGUAGUGCAUUUCCGGCCAACCAGGACCCAGAUUCCGGCGACCCUUCCCCCCCUUUUCUACUCCAGUCAUCAGUAAGUGUUUCCCCCUCCUUUCUCGCAUUUUCUUUCUUCCUCUUGCCGUCCUCUGCGUUUGUAUGUCGGGCCUCUCCGACGUGACUUCCUCCAACUCCCAGACUCCCCCCCGCCGUAAAGCCACCAGGAUCUUCAUUUCCUCCUCAUCUCCAUCUUCAUCAUCUCCCUUUCCUCCUCCUUCUUCAUCUUCUGCUUCCAACCCUAACUUUCCCCUUCCCGACUUGCUCGAGCUCAUCGACAUCAUGAGUUCCCCAUCUGCCCACUCCCCUUCUGCCCGGCUCCUGGAGGAGGUGGCCGAGCUUGACGCCCUCAUCAGGCGGCAAGCCGUCUCCACCCCUCCUCCCCAGUCCCCUAACGAUUCCCCCGGCGGAGCCCGGGGUGGAGCUGGGGAGGACCGGGGCUCCUCUGGGGGGAUCCCCGCUUCCGAGCAGGGGGAGGACCCCGAGUUCUCCUACGGGCAUCCUGACCUGCAGGAGGCCACCCUAUCGCCCCAGGCUGUGGCCGAGCUGGCCAAGUCUUAUUCCAUCCCUCCGGCCUACGAGCCGAGGGCGGCCGGGCCCGGCGAUUGGGCCUGCAGACCUCCCUCCGGCUUCGUUGCCAUCUACAGGGAGCAGCUCAUCGCAGGGUUUCGUCUCCCCAUUCCUUCAGCUCUAACCGAGAUUCUGAGCUACUGGGGGCUCAGAAUCACUCAAGUCCACCCCACCUCCAUCAGGAUCAUUACCGGAUUCCUGAUCUACUGCCUGCUCCGCGAUAUCCCCUACUCCCUUUCCCUCUUCCGGGCUGCCUUCAUACUUAAGGCCGCCCUACCCGGGUGGUACUACUUCUCCCGCCGCGGUCCCCAAACCCGGGGAGGGAAAGGCGCCCAAAAGCUAUUCCACGGGGUCCCUUCUUCCGUAAAAAGUUGGAAGGAAGACUUCUUCUUUGUUAAGUCCACCCAUUUUCCCCCCAACGUGUGGAAGGUUGGAAAAGUCCAAGCCGAUUCCUUCCCGGAGGACCUGGACUAUGAAACCCUCAGCCAGCUGUCGGAAUCCCUGGUGAAGCUUGACGCCACCAAGUUCUCUACAGCACAGAUCUCCGCGGCCGGGCUGAUGGGGACGUUGUCUGAAUCCUCCGGGGAGGUGGUGACCCCCGAGCCCAACCUCGACACCUGUAACGCCAACUUUGCCCUUUUUGCCUGUUGUAUCCACAGCAUGUCGUAAUGCUAUAGGCUGUCCGGCCUUUUACUGACUUAGCCGUGUUUUCUGCAGUGAGGAAGCUCUCCCUGCUGCUGGGCCUGCCUGCCGAGGAGGACACCCCCGCUUCCCAUCCAGACGAGGAAGCCCCCGGGGCGCCUCCGACCUCGGGGGGAGGCCAAGCCCCCCAGACACAAACGCAAGACACCUCCUCCCCCUCCAAGAAGGCCGCCAACAACAAGAAAAAGGCGACCGGGCAGAAGAGGGGUCGAGCCGACGAGCCCUCCCAGCCCGGGAAGAAGCUCGCGCUGGUUCCGGUCCAGCCUCCUCCCCUCCGGAUGUCUUCGGGGGGUCCAGUCCAUUUGGGCGUCGGCUCCGCCGAGGAGCACGCCCUGCAGGCCCCCCCGAGCUCGUGGCACUUCCGCCACGUGGCCCCCCUGAAGCCGGGCCAGGCCCCCACUAUGCACGACCCCCGCCGUUUCUGCCCGUCCUGGGAGCUCUCCAUCAACGACCGAGCCCAAUUCCCCGAGGUGGCUCGCCAGUGGGUGACGGGCUCGGUCCUCCCCCGGGACAGGAGGUGGAUGGAGCUAGCCUCCCCCUCCGAGCUCCAGGAGGUGUACUGCACCUCCCAGGCCCAAGUAAGUUUUCCGACCUCAGAGCCGUCCUUGCUUUUGACCCCUCACUCGGCCGCACCUCAGACUAACUCCUUCCUUUCUCCAGGCCCACGCUGCUGGAGCCGCCUUGCUGUCUCGCUUCUCCGAGCUAUCUCCCGAUUUGGAGAAACUGCAGAAACAGAAAAGGGAGGCGGAGCAAAGGCUCACUCAGGCCCUCAAGGAGGCGGACUCCCUUGCGGCCAAGCUGGGCAAAGCCGAGAAGGAACUGGAAACGGCCCAAGUCCAGCUCGCCUCCACAAGGUCAGAACUCGACCAGGAGAAGGCCGGCGUGGCCAAGCUGAGAGAAGACCACGCCAUCGAGCUCUCGGGCACCGUCGGCAGGGAGCGCAAGAAGGCCGUCCGGGAGUUCAUCUCCUCUGACCAGUUCAUCCAGGACGUAGCGCUCCUCAACGGGCCCAUCGCCCAAGUUGGCUUCGCGCGCGCCCUGAGCAGGGUCAAGGAGCUCGGCCUGCCUGGCUUCGACCUGGCCGCCUUCAAGGAGUACGACCCCAAGGCCGAGGAGAAGGUGGACUGGCUCUUCGACGGGUAUUGCAAGGGACACGCCCUGAAAGAGCUGGUGCGCCGGAAGGACGUUGGGGCCGACCUUGAGGAGCUGCCCCUAGAGAAGGACGGGGACCCGGGCCGAGCUCCGGGGAAGGAGCCGGUAGCCUAGGCAGCCAAGUUUCCUUUUUCUUCAGUAGGCAGUGUAAUAGAUAGGCCGAUAUCACACCUUUUGUAAUAGAUAGGCCUUAAGUAUAUAUACAAAAUUCGAAGCAAGUCUUCUUGCGACUCUUUUCGCACCUGACUUAUGACCCCACCCCUCAAGCCGAACACGUUAAAACUGUGCCGGCCUUCUGGGUCGAGCACCAUACCUUCCAAGUAUCCCCAUCGCGCCGACCUACUGGGUUGAUCACGUCUGAGAUUGUGCCGACCUCCUGGAUCGAGCAUCAAACCCUCCAAAAUCCUCAUCGCGCCGACCUCCUGGGUCGAACAUGUUUAAGACUGUGCCGACCUCCUGGGUCGAACACGUUUAAGAUUGUGCCGACCUCUUGGGUCGAGCACCAAACCUUCCAAGUAUCCCCAUCGCGCCGACCUACUGGGUCGAUCACGUCUGAGAUUGUGCCGACCUCCUGGGUCGAGCGUCAAACCUUCCAGGACACAAAACACCCACUACUAUUCCCCUAGCCCCCCACUAGGACAUUUAGAUAGGGACGCUAAGUGUUCUAGUGCGAAAUCAAAGCUCAGAAGGCAAAGAAGUACAAAUGAAACAAGAAACUUGAAAGUCGAGCCUUUAUUGAAUCACAAAACUGAAAUUCGAAUUCCGCAGAACAAACGACCGUCCACCCUGGUCUAACCUAUGCUACAAACAGUCGCAGGUUGGAAAAGUGCCAAGUGCGGGGUACCUCAGAUCCGUUCAUGUUGGCGAGUUUACAGUAACCUGCUCGGCCCACCCCAAGGACCUUGUAGGGGCCCUCCCAGUUUGGGUCGAGCUUGUUGGAGCUGUGAGCUCGGCUGACCGAAUUCUUCCUUAGGACAAGGUCCCCGGGCUGGUAUUGGGUAGCCCUUACUUUGGCAUUGUGAUAACGAGCGAGCUGGCCUUUAUACUUAGCCAUGCGAACCGCCGCUUCCUCACGCUUAACCUCGAGCAUGUCCAAGUUGUACCGGAGCUCUUCCUCAUUGGACGUCGCCACGAAGUUCUGUGUUCUGGGCGAAGGGAGACCGACCUCCGCGGGCACCACUGCCUCUACUCCGUAAGUUAAAGAAAACGGGGUCUCAUGGGUGGCCGUCCGGGGCGUAGUGCGGUAAGCCCAGAGGACACUGGGGAGCUCGUCCAGCCAGCUCGACUGGGCGGACGCCAACCUGGUCUUCAAUCCCUGCAGAACGGUUCGGUUAGCGUUCUCCACCUGACCAUUGGCCUGGGGGUGACCAACUGACGUGAAGUGUUGGUUGAUCCCGAGCUCGACGCACCAGCUCCGGAAGGGGUUCUCAGCGAACUGGCGGCCGUUGUCGGAUAUCAAGACGUGCGGGAUGCCGAAACGGCAGACAACGUUCCUCCAAAAGAAUUUCUGGAUCGCCUUUCCCGAGAUGGAGACUAGGGGCUCUGCCUCUAUCCACUUGGUGAAGUAGUCAAUAGCCACCACGAGGUGCUCGUACCUUCCUGGAGCUCGGGGGAAUGGUCCCAGGAGGUCUAUUCCCCAUUGAGCGAAAGGCCAGGGACUGUGAAUGGGGAUCAUUUCCCGAGCUGGCUGGUGACGUAAUGAAGCGUGCACCUGGCAGGCUCGGCAUCUCUGUACCAGCUCUGCGGCGUCACGGAAGACGGAGGGCCAAUAAUAGCCCAGGAGGAGGCACUUUUUGGCCAGCACCCGGGACCCCACAUGUGCCGCACAUAUACCUUCAUGGGCUUCACGCAGGACGUAGUCUCCUUCCUCGGGAGUCAAAAACUUUAGCCAGGGGGACAAGUACGACCUCCAGUAGAGGGUUCCCCCGGCGUAGGCGUAUUUGGCAGCUCGGACUUGGAUUUGUCGAGCCUCAAUUUUGUUCUCAGGGAGGGUACCCGAGCUGAGGAAGUCAACGAGGGGAGCCAUCCAGGUGGCCGAGCUAUCCACCGCCAGGACCUGGACCUGGCCGAUACUCUUCUGCUUCACCACCUCCACCAAGACCUCCUUGCUUAGGUGGGCGAACGAGGAGGACGCCAGCUUGGACAAGGCGUCCGCGCGCUUAUUUUGGGACCUUGGCACCCGCUCGAUCUCAAAAUUAUCGAACAGGGCCACCGCCUCUCGUACCUUGGCUAGGUAUUUCUUCAUUACCUCGUCCUUGGCCUCAUACUCCCCACGGAUUUGGAGGACGACGAGCUGAGAGUCGCUUCGAACCCGGAUCGCGGUAAUGCCCAUCUGGUGGGCUACCCGCAAUCCCGUCAACAGGGACUCGUACUCCGCCUCAUUGUUGGACGCGGGGAAAUCAAACCUGAGCGCAUAAGUCAGUUCUUCCCCUGUGGGCGAGGUGAGCAACAGGCCAGCCCCGCUGCCCUCCUUGCUCGAGGCGCCGUCCACGAACAACACCCACGGCUCCAUUGUCGGGGUGUCCGGGGGUGUUGGGACUAGUUCCGCCGGGGUCAGGCUAGCUCCUUCGGCCAGGAAGUCCGCCAAGGCCUGAGCCUUAAUCGCGGUACGGGGCCGAUAACUGAGGUCGUGUUCGGCCAGCUCGACGGCCCAUUUGGUCAUCCUGCCCGAGACCUCGGGCUUAGUGAGUAUCUGGCGCAAGGGCUGGUUGGUCAAGACUGCGAUGCUGUGAGCUUGGAAGUAAGGCCGGAGCUUGCGAGCAGCGUGCACUAAGGCCAGAACCAGCUUCUCGGCCGGGCUGUAUCGCGUCUCUGGCCCUUGUAAUGCUCGGCUGACGUAGUACACCGGUCUCUGAGUCCCCGCGUCCUCCCGUACCAAGACCGCACUGACGGCCUCGUUGCAAGUGGACAGGUAUAGGAAUAGUGUCUCCCCCAGCUCAGGGGCGGUCAGGGCGGACAGCUCGGCCAGAUAGGCCUUGAGGUCGGCGAAAGCUUUCUGGCACUCCUCGGUCCAGUGAAAGUCCUUUGGCCCUUUCAAGAUCCGGAAAAAGGGGAGCCCCCGAACCGCGGAGCGCGAGAGGAACCUGUUUAGGGCAGCCAUCCUCCCUGUGAGUCGUUGGACUUCCUUCACGUUCCUCGAAGGGGCCAUGUCCAUAAUGGCCUGUAGUUUGUCCGGGUUGGCCCGGAUUCCAUCUCGGGAUACCAGAAAACCGAGGAACCUCCCCGACCUGACCCCAAAGGUGCACUUCUUCGGAUUUAUGCGCAUCCGGCUCUCCAGCAGGAUUUCCAGAAUCUCCUUUAGGUCGGGUAUAAGGCGCUGAUCAACCCGGCUUUUAACUAUCAUGUCGUCCACAUAGACCUCCAUGCUUUUACCGAUCUGGCCUUGGAACAGCUUGUUGACCAGGCGCUGGUAGGUAGCCCCCGCGUUCUUCAAGCCGAAUGGCAUGGUUCGGUAACAGUAGGUCCCCUCCUCGGUGAUGAAGGAGGUCUUAUCUCGAUCUUCCUCAGCCAUUUCUAUCUGGUGAUAUCCCUUAAAGGCAUCCAGAAAGCACAAAACGUCAAAACCCACGGUAGAAUCUACUAACCUGUCGAUCCUUGGCAGGGGAAAGCAGUCCUUUGGGCAGGCAUUGUUAAGGUCCGUGAAGUCCACGCACAUCCUCCAGGUCUGAUCCUCCUUUUUGACCAGGACAGGAUUGGCCAACCAGGUCGGGUAGUGGACCUCCAUGAUGAUCCUCGACUCCAGUAACUUGCCGACCUCCGCCUUGAUCACCUCAUUUCUCUCGGUAGCGAAGCUCCUUUUCUUCUGCUUUACCGGCUUGAAGUGAGGAUCCACGCCAAGGUGGUGGACUGCCAGGUCCGUUGGAAUCCCAGGCAUGUCGUCCACUGACCAGGCGAAGACCUGGGAGUAUUCCCUCAAUAGAGCUUUCAAACCCUCCUUCUCCUUGGCGGGCAACAGGGCUCCAAUGCGGAGAACCUGAUCGGGCCGAUCCUCCCUUAAGGGGAACUCCUCCACCUCAUCUUGGGUACCCAGUUGCUGGGCCUCAUCCCCUGGGAUGUAGGGUUCCAAACAGGUUGUCUGGGCGACCACCUUCUCCUGCCCCCGAAGCGUGGCCAGGUAACAUGCCCUGGCUACCGCUGGGUCGCCCCGCACCUCGGCUAUUCCCCCAGGGGUGGGGAACUUGAUGCUGAGGUGGAAAGUAGAGGAGAUAGCCCGGAGGGCGUUCAAAGCGGGUCUCCCCAAGAACAAAUUGUACGGGGACGACUGCUUGACCACCACGAAAUCAACGAGGAUGGUCCGGCACCUGGGGGCCUGUCCUACUGUGACCAUCAGGGUGAUCAUCCCCUCCAAGCUGAUGGGUGGUCCGGUGAAGCCCACCAGAGGCGUCCGGACCGGGGUCAGCUGGUCGUCCCUUAGUCCGAGCUCCUUGAACACCCUAUAGAACAUAAUGUCAACCGCGCUACCCUGGUCGACAUACACCUUCCUCACCCGAUAGUUGUUGGUGACGAUGUCUAUCACGAUGGCUUCGUGGUUCCCUGCGGCCAGGGGGACUGCAUCCCUGGGUCCAAAGGUAAUUUCCUCGUCCAUGCGCAAGCGCUUCAAGGAGUCGUCCCCCUCGGUGGGAGGUCGCUUGUUCUUCCGAGCCGCAUGACUGUCCCCCCCCGUGGGGCCUCCGGCGAUGGUGUUUAUCACCCCCGCCAGGUUCUGGGUGUCCCGGUCGGGAGAGCAGUCCCGAGGGGCGUCACGCCGCUCCGGGCGGUCGCGCCGCCGUCCCUCGUGCCUAUCUCCGUAGUGGUUGCGUCCAAGCCCCUGACCUGGUCGGCGCACGAACCCCCCUAGAAAACCGCGCUGGAUCAGGUCCUCGAUCUCCUUGCGCAGGGCCCAGCACCCCUCCGUGUCGGGCCCGACGUCGCGGUGGAAGGCGCAGUACCGGUCCUGGUUCCUUUUGUUCCGGGGCGUCCCCAUCUUGGGCGGCCGAUCUCCCAGCCCUUCCGCCUCCAUAACGGCUAAGAUCUGGGCUCUGGGCCGUGUUAGAGGGGUGUAGGUCUUCUCUGGGAGGGGCGGCGGAGCUGGUGCCCUAUCCUUGGAGAGACGGUCGAAGACGUUCUUCCUGACUUGGCCGUCCUUAGAUUCAGGAGGGUUUGCCCGUCCUUUCCUGUCCCCGAACUCCCGAUCUGAUUCCCGUUUCAGGCGGCCGGCCUCCUCUGCAUUGGCGGCGGCGUGAGCCCGGGUCAAGAGCUCUCCCAGGUUCUUGGGAGGUUGUUCGACAAGCUUGUAGUAGAGAUCCUCUACCCUCAACCCGUUCAUGAAGGCGGCCAUGACUACCUUUUCGUCCUUAUCCCUGAUCUGCAGGCUCUCUGUGUUGAAGCGCGUCAUGAAGUUCUUCAGGGACUCAUCCGGGUUCUGCUUAACGGCCAUCAGGUGGGCCGCAUUCUUCGAGUAGGUCUUCGAGGAAACGAACUGGGCGGCGAACUGUCUGGCCAGCUCGGUGAAACUCUGAAUAGAUCCCGGUGCCAGACCCUGAAACCAGAGCCGCGCCUUACCCUUGAGAAACAUGGGGAAGGUCUUGCAGCGGAGGGCAUCCGCGGCGUUUUGCAGACGCAUGUGCGUCAGGAAGACCGAGAGGUGGUCCUCCGGGUCGGUCGAACCAUCGUACAGCUCGAUGUUCGGGAUUUUAAACCUCCGGGGUAACGGGUAGUUCUCGACCUCCCGGGUGAAGGGCGAGGCUGCGUAGUUGUCCCCGUACGGUUGUGGUCGCAGGAUCUGCUCGAGCUCAUCCCGGACGGGCUGCCACUGGGGUGGGUCGCGCGGGCGACUCCUGACAGAUCGGGCGGGGGAGCGUGCGAGCCCAUUUCGCGUAGGUUUCCGUGGGGAGGGGUCCCUUGGUCGGCUCCCCACGGACCGGUCGUGGGAGUACCUCUCGCUAUCCCCGACCACCGAAGCUCGGUGACGAGGGGGAGUCCGCGGCCGUUUCCUCCUAGGGGGCUGGUCCUGUGACCCAUCCUCCGAAGGGUCAGGGAUCGACUCCUUCUCCUUCCCCUUCCCCUGGACUUUGGAAGUUGGUGCGCCCCCCGCCUCCUUUCCUCCUUUUGCCUGCCGGAUUAUAUCCUCCAGCAUGGGGAGAUUCUCUGUCACGAACUGGAGCAUCUGCCGUCUCCGGUCCCCUGAGAGGGCCGAGCCCCCAGCGCCCCCGGCCGCUUCGUUCUCCUCUCGACGGGACCCCUCCCCGGCCCCGGCUCCGGUGCUUUCAACGGUUUGCUUGGACCGUGUCCUCGCCAUCAACACUAACAAUUACCUUUCGGUUCCCACAGACGGCGCCAACUGAAGAAGCACGGGACUUCCCCUGACCGAGCUGACCUGGUGAGCUCGGUGUGCCGAUGGAAGAGCUGGUCCCAAUCCUGCAAAACAAACAAGGGUAAACUAGCAGUGGGGGCCCGAGGGUUGUCCCCGAGGGCGCUCCGACGGUCAAAUUAGUUCCUGGCCGGCGGACGGAGCGGUUUUUGAUAAUGUAUUGUACGAGCAAUCUGCUAAUAGCGAGCGUCCCUUGCACAGUUGGUAUGUGCUACCAUUUAUACCCGCUUAGGAGUCCGACCUCCGUACGUUUCGGGACUUGCCCUGAAUAGCUCCCAAUCCCGUUCCUGGGGGGAUCCUCCCGCCCUCUGCGGGGCAGCUCUUGGGAGCAUCCCGGAGCCCUAAUGGCCGAGCCCUCUUGGACUGGUUCCCAGUGGGCCCAAGGCGCGAGCCCAGCUCGGAUUGCCCCUGGGCUGACACGUGUACGGGCCCAGGAUGGGGCCUCUGCAGGGUUCAAAUUUUAUCUAUUAGAAACCAGCUUCCUUAAUUUCAAAGACAGAAGAUGAUUAGAGAUCCCCUACAUUAAUAAAGAAAAAAAAAACGCCAACCAAUCGUUCUUGAUUGCCCACUUGUUGCUAAAUCUUAUCGUCAGCAUUGGUUCUUAGUUGCCUGCAUACUUCUCAUCUUUUAAUUUUUCAAUUAAUUAGACUGGAAAUGAAUACGAGUUCCACUUCUUUGCUAAAAAAGUUAUUAGCAGAAGUAAAAUUUAUUAGCAGAAGUUAUUUUAUAGCCCAUGAUCCCGUGUGCAAUAUUGCAAUGCAACAUGGGCAAAUAGCUAAGCGAGAAGACAAAAGAGAUAGAGAUGCCGAGCCUUAGCACCUAGAAUGAGAAAUAGAUGUUUUAGUCAUUCAGUUAUAUCAGAUUGAUUAAUUAGAGUUAUCACGGGAAAAUUUGGCAUCUAAAAUACAAGUUUUUUGAACUUAUUUCACAUAUAAGUAGUAAUAUACUAGUAAUGAAGAAUGUAAACCUGUAAAGGGUUUGUCUAGUUGGUAGUGCACCAAAUAAGAGGUGGAUCCAAAGUAAUUUUUUCCUAUCAAAGUGUUGCAACUUAAGUGGUGAAUGAUAAUUUUAAAACUUUAAUAGUUCACCUACCUUCUUGUUUUAAUUAUAUUUAAAUCAUAUAUAUCUACCUUGUAUAUAAAAAGAAAGCCAAGUUACUGUAGCUAACCAUCUUUUUGACACAUGUAUUGUAUAUAUUUUUGACAAGUGGACCUUUGAUUAUUUUACCAAAAUUUUUUCCUUCCCCUUUCUUGAUUCAAUUGGACUAAAGGAUUAAAAUAUUUUUUCUCCUUGAGAAAAUCAACUCCAUCUCUUCUUUUUCUUCUUGCAGUAACUACUGUCAUCCCUCACCUUUUUUAUUUUUUAUUUUUUAAAACUAAUCUAACUAAGAUUGUUGCCAUGUUCUUUUUUUUUUUUUUUGUCAAGAUGAUAACUACUUAGCAAAAAGAAUUCUUUAUUAUUUUUUAUCCCAUUUUACAUUUUCUUUUCUUCCUUUUUUUCUUCAUCUCUAAUCUCUCAUGUUUGCUCUAUUUUUUUUUAUCAUAAUGUUAUAGCCAACUGGCAUUUGUUUGUUAAAUUUAUAGGAUGAUGUUUUACUUGGUAGUUCUUCAUGGAUAAAAGGUGAAAUAUUAAAAUAUGUAUAAAAAAAAUUUAGAAUUCAUUUUAUACCAAUGAUCAUUUUCUAUGAAUAAUAGAACAAAAAUUCAUUCUUUUAUUUUCUUCUCCUAUGAUUUGAUUUCUUACUUCACAUUUUGUUUCCUUUUCUUUGUUUUUUGGUUACAUUUUGUAAUUAUCUACAAUUUUCUGUAUUUGUUUAGGAGAAAGAUAUAUCAUAUGAUGUUUCCACCAAGAUAAAUCUAGCUAGGCAUUUUUGUUUGUUUUUUAAUUACUCAAGUGUUGUAGUAUGAAUUGGGUUGGUAUACAAGGAUUGCAGUCGGUGGUGGAAGUCACAAUUGAGGCUUUCGGCCUAGAGUGUGACUUGACAAAAAAUUGUUAGAAAUUUCAAUUUUGAUUAGGAAGAUGUUUUUGCAAUAAAAAAAUAGUUCAAUUCUAAUUUGUAUAUGUAGACCAGGAAACAUGGCAAUUCAUAUUUUUAUCUAACCUUGCUAUUUAUAUUCAGGAGCUGCAGGAUAAUGUUAUCACCUUUAGGCAGAAUUUAAAUAGAUGAACUGGAUUCUUCUAUCAAAAGAAAGAAAAAUAUGCAAGUUUAUAGUAAGCUAUAUUGAUGUUGAAGAUUGUGCCAUGUUUUAGUAGCUUCCUAAAUUUUUUCUCAUUAUUAAAGUACUAAAAGUAUUACGACUGCUUUUGAUUUAGUUUUAACUAAAACUAUACUACUAUUAAUACACCAAUGCACUUAUAGUCUAUUAAGUUUCUCUCCUUUUUGGGUAUCAUCAUAAUAGUGGUUCAAAAAUCUUUAUUCAAAUCACAAUAAAUAGAGAGGUUGACUUCAUAGAUGGAAUUUCUCUUCACAACAAAUUUUGAGAGAAAUUUUAUUUAUACUCCAUAUUGUGUUAAUUGUGUUCCUACAAAAAACAAAAACUAUACGAUAAAAAUAAUAGCGAAAGUAUGAUUAACAAAAAUGAGAGUUCAAAUAAUAUUUGUCAAAUUUAAUUGCUUUGAUGCUCAAUUUUUCUCAUAUAUUUCUAUUCAUUCAUCAUGUGUCAAAAUAAUUUGAUGCUAUGCAUUCGACGGGCAACGGGCAUUUUGGUCAUUUUACACAGCGCGUAACUUUGAUUGCACACGACGUAACUUUGUUUGCACAACGUGUAACUUUAGUACAAAAAAUUACGGGCCCCACACACGUGAAAAUCGAUGUACAACUUGUAAUCUGGACCGCACAUUUUUUUUGACCAAAAUCUAGCCGUUGACUGUUCAGGCAUUCAGGGACGGUCCCUGCCCCUUGUCCGCAUUCGACUAAAUUUCUAGGGGGCCCAAACUGUGCUUUGCACAGUUCAAGUACCUCUAGUAUAUAUAUAUAUAUUAAAUAUCCAAUAAUUCUGGCAUGUCCACGUGGAACAAGCUAAGAAUCUUCUGUUAGAAAUAUCUUCAUUGAACCACUUUUUACUCUUUUCUUGUUAUAUUCCUACAAUCAACAUCAAUUGCCAAAUAUGAGUUUAAUCAAUCCAAUAAUGCAAUAUUUAGCCAAAAUCACAAGAAAAUAUUAACAAUUUCAAUAACCACUAUGCACCCUAUAACAGUCUAACAGUUAUGUGAUUAAUGACCGGAAGAAUGAUUGGUGUAUGUUAAUUUGUCACAAAUAUUUGUAAAAUGAGCAAAACUUAGGAUCCAAUAGCUUGUAUACUUGCAAGAAACUACUACACAAACAAACGAUAAUUCUUUUGGCCGGAUUGUGAUCAAAGCAUCUUAGUAUAAGCUAGAAUCUUGUACUAAUUGAUGACAAACAUCUAUGAAAUAGUUAGAGACUUACUCUCAUCCUAGCAAAUCAAUUUCUUAACUUGAGGUGUAUAUGAUAAAAAAUUUGAGUUUCUGUUUAAAAAGUAUAAUUUGUGAAUUGCUAGGUUUUAUUUUUUAUUGGUUAAUAACUUUCAAAUAUUAGAUUCAUGGUUUCUUUUUAGAAAUUCCUAUAUUUUAUUUGAUAUAUUUACUUUAAUUUGACUAGAGCUGGCAAUUUGUCCCAAGUCCCAAUGGGCUACCCAUGCCCAAAGGAACUUUGGGCGGGAUGGGUAUUAUAAUUUGGUAUUGGGUUUAAGUUGGGAUACAUCCCAACUAUACCCAUUAAUGAAUGGGAAAGGGUGGGAAAUACUUGGGUAUCCAUUGGGCUCAAACAGCAAGGGCUCCGUUUGGAUUAGCUGUUUUUAGGGGGUGUUUUUGAAAUAUUUUAUUGUAGUAGUGUAUAUAAAAAAAUUUUACUAUAAAAUUUUUUUGAAAUAUUUGAUAUACUAAUAUGGAUGGGAUGUUUCUUGAGUUAUUGUAUAUUACUAUUUGAAAAACUUAUUUUUUGAAAAAAUACCCAAUCCAAACGGAGUCUUAGAUUCAAAAAUUAUCUUUAACAAUUUUUAUAGUCAUACCAGCGAAUAUAAUCUAGUAGUCUUUCUAAUCAUUAUCCACAAGAAUUUCCAGCAUUUUAAUCAAUUUAGACCUGUCAUCCUUGGACAAUGAUGAGGAUAAAUAUUCAACAUCUUAAGGAAUUUGGCCAUCUUGAUAUAUGUUGGAAUAUGGCUGUAUAUCUAUCUUUUUCUUUAUUUGUUAAUCCAAUUUUUGGUGGGAAUCUUGAGUAUAAAGCAUUUGCAUGUUUAUUUAAUAAAACUAAAAGAAAUUUAAUAAAUCAAAAAUAUUAAAAUUAUAUAAAAAUAAAAAAUGAAUUAAAGGAAAAAAAAUAUGUAGAAAAUGGAUUUGGGUAUUGGGCGGGAUCAAUCUAAACCCAUCCUAAAGUGAUCCCGCCCAAAUUAGUCCCAAAACAUAUAUGGGUAAGGUUGGGUCCAAACCCAUAUGACUCGGUUUCAUCUCAAACCCAAGCAAAUCCCGCAUAUCCCGCCCAUUUUGCCACCUCUAAAUUUGACAUAUAAGCAUUAUUCAAUGUAAUAUGCAGUAAGUUUUUUCCAGCUUCCGAUAUUGUCAAAAUUUUAUUUUCUUUUGCAAGUCAAAAUCAAAUUAGGAUUUGUUAUGCCUUAUGUUAUGUCCAGAACCUAGUAGAAUUAGAUUGAGUAGCAUUACCUUAUUUGGUAGAAACUAUGUUUCAUUAAGUAAUUUCCAUUCCAAAUCUAACUAUAUUUCAUAAGAAAAAUGUAAUAUACUUCUCUUCCUAAAAUAAAUACUUAACAAUGAUAUUACACAGUUACCCUCAACAAUAUCUAUAAGUCAUUCAAAUUUAGAGCUAGCCAUAAUUUGUUAUGGGAGGGUUAAUGUUGGAAAGAAAAAACUAAUUUUUACAAUAAUUAAUAAAGUAGAAAUAGUUCUUAAAUUUCCUUUUACAAUAUGGUUCCCUUUUUUUGGGUUUAACUUUGUUUUACAAUAUGGUAUAUGGUUUCGUUUUUUUUUUUUUUUGGUUUAACUUUGUUUGGAAUUCCUUUCUUUUUAGAAUACUAAAUUUUAGAAGACAAUAAUUACAUCAACACUAAUAUCCAUAAAUAUCCCCCCCCCACCAAUUCGUAUUUGAAAUUUAAGAUGUGCUUCAUUAUUUCAUUAUACAAGGGCAUUACUAGAAAGUGAAAACUAAAUUACUAAAACACCAAAUCACUUUGGUGCUUUUAAUAUAUAUGCAUAUAUGUAUGUAUGUAAGUAUAUAUGUAUGUGAUAGACAUUUGCACAGUGAGACUUAUUUGGCAUCUAGUCCAACAAAGCUAACAAGGCAAGCACAAAAUUAAAAACAUAAAAAUAAAACGCCUUGAAAAAUAUUAGAUAGAGAUUCAAGGGAUUGUCAACCAUGGCAUUCCAAAAGAAAAGGAAAACAACAAAUUAAAGAGGAGAAUCAUCGAGGACAUUGAAAAUUAAAACCCAAUAAAUUAACUUUCUGAUUUUGAAAUAAUGAUCAAGUGAAAGGCAUGAGCUACUAAUAACUUGGCACAUGUUUCAUUCUAUAAUUAUCAUGUCUGGAGGUUCAAUUUUUUCUUCUGAGGUUUGCCCUUUUUGGCUAGAUUAUUCUCACCUUUCACCGUCAAAUUGAAUUUUCAACGUACCAAGGUUUUCUCAAAUCGCUUCAUACAAGAUGCAUGGUAUUUGUUCUGAUUUACCAUAUCAUCUCAGCAUUUGGCAUGGGAUGAUUAGAAACCAGCUUCCUUAAUUUCAAAGACAAAAGAUGAUUAGAGAUCCCCUACAUUAAUAAAGAAAAAAAAAACGCCAACCAAUCGUUCUUGAUUGCCCACACGUUGCUAAAUCUAAUCAUCAGCAUUGGUUCUUGGUUGCCUGCAUAAUUCUCAUCUUUUGAUUUUUCAAUUAAUUACACUGCAAAAGAAUGUUAACGCAAAACUAUUAGUAUAAGUUAUUUGUUUUUUUCCCACCAAAAAAAAAAAGCAGAAUUAUAUAUAGCCCACAUCUCAUAUGGAACAACACGCAAUGCUGUAACGCCGCGAAUGCUGAGCCUUAGCACUCAGCUAUCGAGGGCUGUUAUGAGGUGAGAGGACAGGGAGCAGCAGGCCUUGAAAAAAUGAGCUAAGUUGUGCAAAGAGUGGGCUGGGAACAUUAACAUUACUUUUUGUACGUUUUCUCUUUGAGGUAAUUUUUGGUAAUAACUUUGUCCAGUGCUGAGGGAAACCCCGGUCGAUUUUGCAUUUCUAGUUUGAUAUACUAGGUGGUAGCCACUGCCCAGUUAAUGUUUAGCUAGUAAUGUUGGUAAGAAUGAAAGUACAAUCAAAUGGAACUAUAAAAUGGAACUAUAUUAUACAGGCAUAUUAAUGAAAAUUAUACGAGCCUCCCAAGUAAGAUAACCAUGAUGGCUCAGGGCUCCAUGAAGCCAUUGUUCUAGUCUUUGAAAUACAAAAGUGAAAUACAGACAGAUUCAGCAACAACUCAAGGCAUCAAUCAAGCAGUGAAUCCAGUCCUGUUCAUACAGGAGAAAAUAGAGCAGAGCAAGUAAUGCCUCCAAAGCAAAGAAAAAACUGCAACAAAAGCAAAGCAAGCAAACGCAAAAAUUAUGACAAAACGAAAGCAGACAGCUGUAUUAAUGCACAUAUAGCCUCACGAAAUGUGAAGCUAGGAUUGAGGUUUACAAAAUCGCGGAAAUGUGAAGCUACUUUUUCUAGUUGGAGAACAAGAAUCAUCUACAUCCAAUCUUGAUUGAACUACUGAUGUAUAACUACUUCUUCCCUGUUUACAUAAUGACAUCACAUCACGCAGCAAGAAAAGUAAAUAUUAGAGCACCCUGUGAGACAUUUUCAAAUCUGAAUUACCUUCAAAGGGAACGUCUGUGUAUACAAGUCAACUUUCUGGUCAUCGCCAGAUACUCUAGUAAUCUGCCUCACAAACUUUGUUUCCACAUUAUAUACAAGCUGCAAUUUUGAAUCAAUAAAUGUCAUACAUCUUGACGUGAUGUAGCACAAACUCCCAAAAAAUAAAACAUAAUCAAGUUUUGCUUUAAAGCAUAAUAUGAAACAUAAAUCAAAGUACCUGAACAACAUAUUCAAAUAAAUACAGGGUACACUGGGUAAGCAUGUACCUACCUUCCUUAUAUCAGGAUCAUUCCAAGGACUCAUAUUAGAUGAGAGGCAUCCUCCUUCAACUGGAUAUAAGCAAGCUAACAAAUCAAUUUCAAAUCAAGUAUUAAAUAAUCUGCAAUAAAUGAAAAUUUUCUUACUAAAAAAUUUAGAGACUACAAAAUUACAAGGAUCUCAUGGUAAAAGAAACAUUAAGUAAACAACAGUACAUCAAAAGACUAAACAUACCUAAUUAAGGAGAAAAAGGCUAAACAUAGAACAAACUUAAGUAGCGUUAAAGCUGGUGAGAAUAAUCCAAGCAGCUUCCCUCCUAUCACUACCAGCGAUCAGCUUAACACAAAAUACCUAUUAGAAACACCAUAUCAGUUUUGGAUACUCAAAAUACCCAUAACAAAAAACAAAAAAACAUUGCAAUCAUAGGUUCUGAACCAAGUACAAUCCCUGCAUGCAUAAAAAUCUUUCCUUCUUAUACAGGAUGAUGGCACAUAAACAUUAAGAAAUAAUAUCAUUUUCCAUUGAAUGCCUUCUGCACAGAAUAUUUGAGACAAAUAAAUGGAGCAAGAAGUAAAAAUCUGGAACCCAUACAACAAAUUGAACAAAAGGUGAGAUGGCAAAAAAAAAAAUCAGAGUUAAGAGAUUGGCUAAAUAAACACAGUUUUGGCAGGAACAAAAAGUAAAAACCACAGGUAAGAAGAGGGAGCAGGGAGCGUGGAAAAUAUGGAAAUGAGGGCCACAUAACGCUAACUGUACCUCGAGGAAGUACUGGUGGGGAGCAGGCUGGUGCAGGAGAAGGGACCGAAGCAACAUAUGUGGACUGGUUGAGAACCAAAUCAUUUGUGGCAAGAUUUAACAAGGUUGAAUCCAGGAGGGAACUAUCCACAGGAUCAGCCAAGAGAACGCCAGUCUGGGUAUAACCUAAGGCAGUUCUAGAGAAAUAGUCGUGCUAUUUUGGCUAGGCCUUUGAAACCGAGUUGCCUCAGCAGAACAAGGCACAGUUGUGCCUGUUUUUUUUGAGGCAUUGCGUUCACGGCGGCGACGAAGAAGUUCAACUUUCUGCUCAUGUGGCAUUUCUGCAUACCUUUUAUGCCUUCUAGCAUUUCUAUCCAGCCUUGGAUAACGUGCAUUCAAGAAAUAUUAAAACGGACAGCACGAAGAUAUACGUUUGGUAGGGAAUGCAAAAAAACAUCGGAGGAAACGCAAGAGUUAAAAGUGCAAGCUAAGUGCAGGAAAAGAAAGGAAGCAUACCAUAUGAUCGAACGAGGCAACUGAAAGAGCAAAAGAGGGAGGGAGGGGGGAGAGGCAGGAGAAGCAAAGCUAGCAAUAGCAACAACAGCAGGGCAAAACACACCAGUAUGAUACGAAAGUAAGCAGAAGACAAAUACUUCAAUCAGGAAACGGAACAGGGGGAGAAAAGCAUCUGAGGAGUGCAGAAAAGGAAACACAGUAGUAAGAAGCGCAAGGUUAUGCAGUAAAAGAAAGCAAGCAGAGCAUGUAAUCGAGCGAGGCAACUGAAAGAGUAAAUAUGAAAGCACACCAGCAUGAUAUGAAAGCAAGCAGAAGGCAAAAUACCUUAAGCAGUAAACGGAGGCUAAGAGAGGACACGGUAGAGGAGCGAGCCGAAGUUGGCCUGCAUAAGCAAAAGCGACAUAAAGGUUAAGAAAAUAGCGGAAAGCAGGGAACAUAACAAAAGGGAAGCAAUUAUAAGAAUCACAAACAGCUGCGAAUAAACUGAAAGGAAAGUGACCAAAAAGGAACACACGAGCAGCGCACUAAACGCAGUCCAGGGGGAAAAGAGAACAAAAGCUGGGAACAACACAGUGGCGGCAACAAAAUGCUAGGCAAGAAGGGGGUUUUGUUCAGCGGCAAUCCGAGGACAACCGUAGGCCUGGGAGGGGGUAUUAACGGUAGGGGGGAAAGAUCGAGCCCAAAUAUUGGCAAGCAAAGGGGUGUAAGCAGCAGAGGCAGCCGGGAAUUAUAAUGGACAACAAGGGGAGACAGAGGAAGAGGGAGAGGGAGGGGAAGGGCAGCGGGGCGAGGGUGGGGGGGGAGUGCAAGUAGAGCAACGAAAGAGCAGCGGAGAUAACCUAGUGCAGCAAAGAGGGCAAUGGCAAGGAGCAGCAACAACACCAAAACAGGAACAAAAGGGCAAAUAGCGGUCUUCGAUGAGCAGGCAAGAGGAGAAGCACCAUGGUUCAUGAUGGCAGUCAACUAAUAGGGCAGGUUGGAAGAGGUCAGAGCAGGUGGGAGAAGGCGUGCAAGAUAGCUAAAGGAACAGUUUUGUGUGAGGGGAAAGCAGAAGUGGGUGAAGAAGUAAGUGGGGGAAGAUGGAUGCAGGAUGGAGGCAGGAUGGAGUAGAUGGAGACAGGACUGAGGAGCAGAAAAAUAGUACAAAAUGAAAGACGGGGCAGCGGAGGGGGAAGGCGUACAAGAGUAGAAGGCAAACAGCAAGUUGGUAGUGGGAGCAGCUGGAGCACGUGGCAAGCUCAAGACAGCAACUCCAGAAGGCCACAACAGAGCUAAACAGUGGCAACGAAAAAGGAAGAAGAGAGAUGCAACGACCAUACACGGAAGGAAAGCUAAAGGCCAGAAAUUCAUUCAGACCAAUGACGUCGGGCCACGCGGAGGACGACCACGUCCAACGUGGAUACCGGGCGUUCGCCCUUAGUACUAUAUGGUUAACAAGGAGAUUGAUGUGAGCAUUUGUCUAUUUGAGAUUGUUAUGUAUUAGGUCCUGAAUCUUCUAUGGUUUUGUGCUUUAUCACAUAAUCCUCCAUAGUUUAGAAACCUAUAUAGAACCUCACCAUAAUUUGGGUUAGCGUGUCACUGUUAGUUUUUCGUUAAAAUUAACGGUCAACGGUAAAAAGUUAAAAUCAAACUAAUAAAUUGAUAAAUUCAUGCUUUCACUAAUUUUUUGCUUUUUUUUUCAUUCUCUCUCUCUCUCUCUGUGAGAACCCUCAUUUUUAAAAUACAAUUUUCCCAAACUACAUGCCUUGCACCAAGAUUUAAACCAUCUCUUAUAUGCCCUAGCAUUAUAUUUCACAAUGUGUUACAACAAAUCCCUUGUAUUGACCCUCACUUUAAAACACAAUUUUCUUAUUUACAUGCCUUAUUAUAAGAUCUAGACCAUUUAAUAUAUGUCCUUACAAAUUAUUUUCUAUGUGUUAUAAUAAUUUCCAUGCAUUUCAUUUCAAUUCAUUUUACUUGAAGUAAAAUAUUUCCUUGAGCUAGGUUGUAAAUAAUUCAUCACUUGUAAUUGUCCAAGUGUUCUUUUAUUAGUGGUAGAGACUUUAUGUGAGAGAUUAGAGGUGUUGAAUAAUUAUUGGUGCAUUUGGAAAGGUAAGAAUGGCAUUAAUCAAAGAUUAAGAAAGGUUAGGACAAUAAUGGAGCCAUGUGGCAAAACCCUAGCCAUGUAUCUUGUUUGACCAAAGGAUUAGAGAAAUUUUAAACCAACUUUGCUUCAUUUUCCUCCAAAAUUUCGUCCACCUUAAGGGCUUCCAAGGGAAGGAAGAAAACUCCAUCUUCUUGCUAUGACAACCUUAGUUUGAUCUUGAACAAAAACCAAAAGAGAAAGAUCUAGAGUUUGUGAGAAAAUUUCCUUCAAUCUUUGAGGUUGUUUCAAGUCUAAAGCUUCUAUUGUGGUGGUUUGUUUGGUGACCAAAACAACUUGUAAGUAAGGUAUGUAAUCUUUAAAAUUUGGGUUUAUGAUGUUAUAUCAUCUACUUGAGGUUGAAAUGGUGAAAACAACUUGUUAUGGUUGAAUUUGGGGUUAGUUUCUUGAGUUAAUCAAGUAAUGGUUAGGUUUACUAAUAUGCAUACCAAGUGUUUGAUGAAAUGUCUAACCCUUAUUCAUAUGUGUUUAUGAAGUAUUGAUAUGUUUUAAACCCCUAUUUAGUUGGAUCUAAUACUUGUUAUGUGCAAGGAAUGAAAAUAACAAGAAGAAUAGAAGUUAGAAAUUUUUAAAGUGUGCUGACCGAAACUUUUUAAGCUUGCUGCCUGGUUUUUCCUUGAUAUUUUGAUGCACAUUUUGGCUACAAAUGUGAGUGUUAUAUGUUGGGUUAUGUGUGUGGAGGUUGUCUACAAAAAAUUAGCCAAUUUGGUUGAAUAAAUUUUGAGUUAUAAACAAAGGAGGAAAACUGGACUAGGUCCAGAAAUUUUCUGUCCAGCAAUCUUGUUAAGGUCAUAACGUGUUACUCACUGAUCGGAAUUGAGUGAUGUUUGUGGCAAUUGAAAGUAGACUCUUUGAGCUUUAAAACGGUACAAAGCUCAUUUUCUGGUUCAUCCCGAGUGAUCCGUGGCGAGUCUGGAAAGUUGGCUGUCCGGGCAGUACUGUUCAUCCGAGACAGUCCAGAAAGUUCAUUUUGGUUUCUUAAUUUUGAGCUACUUAUGUUGAGAUUUUGGAAAUGGUUUAUUCUAGACAAAUUUAGCCUUAUGAACCUAGUUUCCAAUGCAAUUGACGGAACCUAAUUCUGACUUUUCCACAAUGAGCAAUGACCGUUUUCCCGAGGCUGGCCGGGCGAGACAGUUUAACCCGUAAUGAAGCCUUUGAGUUUUAGUGAAACUUUUCUUUUGCCAAACUUUCAUGUACAUACUAGACUUUUUUUCCAUGAACUUUCACCGUGGUUUAGACCCUAUUUGCAUGCCGGAUUAAGUAGUUUAAGCUACUCACUUGGCCUCUUAAUGAACCUAUACUUUAGUAGGGAACGAAUCCAAUUAUUAAUAUUUUCACUCGUUGACCUAGGUUUGGGCAACGACGGUGAUCAUAACUGAGACAUUUGACGUCGAUUAUUACUUUUGCUUGACAGGUGAGUGUUCCACUACCUGCUACUUGUUAUGUGAAAUAUUUGUGUACUUGAAAGUAUUGAAUUGUUAUUGUUUGAGCCAAACACUGUUUUAAUUAAAAUUGAGGCGAGUGUGUACUUUAUCGCACUCGACCUUCCUUGUUUUUUUUUUCUUUUCACUGAGGCUCUACUUACUGAAUGAAUUAACAUGAAAUGAGAUAUUGUUAUACAUGACUGUGCUUAAGUUGCGUGGAUGACAUUCCACCAACUACUGUUACUGUUUGGGUACCUAACCUCAUAGGUGAGUCGGUUGUAUCGAGCCAGCAAGGGUUUGGUCGAGAAGGCCGAUAAACCUUGAGGACUGUUUACUGUUCACUGGAAAUCGAAUCUUGCUUAGAGGUCCUUGGUGAAGCAUAGCCGUUGUGCUUGCUUGUUGUGUUGUCCAGCACCACCAGUGAUAAAAUCCUCGGCUUGAUACUGUUUCAUUGCAAUCCUUGAGCAUUGGAAACUCGGAUUCCUGGUAUACUCGAGUAUUACCAAACUACUGUUUAUGGAGUGCAGGCCCGGUGGGGGGUUGUUUAGUGGACGGAGACUGGUGAAAGUGGUGUUCUACGGACCUAUAUACUGUUACAAGUGUUGACGGAGUGUCAACAGGAGGCAAUUAUGAUCAAGCUCAAGUGGACCUUUGGCUUUUGAAAGCCACCCGUAUCCUUGAAUUGAACUGUGAUUAAACUGUUAUUUUAUUGUACGGUGUUUAGUUGGCUAUUUUGUGAUUUUAUGUGGCUAUGUAUUUACUUGUUUACCUGGAAUCUCACUGGGAUUUAACUCACCCCAUUCCCUUUGUUUUCCUUAACAGAUCGGGAAAGGAUUUGAUCGAGGGCUUUCUUAGCUUUAUUUUACCGUUCUUGCGUUUUGAGGUUGUAACUUUCGUUUAAGCAGACUUGUAAGCUUAAAUUCUUAAGGGUGAUUUAUAUUAUGUAAUUUUGAGUGAAACAUGGUAAGUUGGCAUGCGAUGAUAUAUGUACUAAGUUGAAUUGUUGAAUUAGUGAUUAUGUUUGAGUUAGUGUUUCAAUCCCCUGCAUUGUCAAAUGUUACAUUCGUUUCAUUGAUGAUAUUAGUACUUUGAACGACUGAGUCCUGUCGAGAGUUGGGCAGGCAGUCCGCUGAUACCCUAGGGUUUGCCCUAGGGAAAGGUGGGGCUGUCACUCUCUCUCUCUCUCUGGGAAGAGAAGAUGUGAUUUUGAAAACCUAUGCUUUGGCGUACAAAAUCUUAAUUUUCUCCAAAUAUAAAAGAGAUGGAAGAAAAUAAAAAAUAAAUAAAUAAGAAACAAAAAGAAUGGAAGGGAAAUAUAAAAAGGGUAAAUGAGAAACAAAAAUUAUCAAAUCUUUUUUUACUACAAAUAUCAUUAUAGGUUUCUAAACCAAAUCUUUAAUGGCAUUUUCUAUUUCUUAUUUAUCUAUUUUUUUAUUUAAAUUUCUUCAAGUAAUGAAAAGAUAAAUUUGUCAAUUUAUUAGUUUGAUUUUGACCUUUUGCUAUUGAUCGUUAGUUUUAAUGAAAAAAAUUAAAGGUGACACUUUAACUCAAACCAUGAGGGGAUUAUAUAUAUGUUUUUAAACUAUAGAGAGAUUAUGUGAUAAAUUACCUAAUCAUAGGGGAUAAAAUGUAAUUUAUCAAACAUAAUAUUAGCUAGCCCUUACAUUGCUAAAGCAAAUGGGUCAAUGGUUGCUCUUGAUUGCCAACAUACAUAUGCGUAGAUCAUCUGCAGUUUGGUUCCUAAUUGCCAGCGUAAACCACAUAUUUUGAUUUUCCAAUAAAUACUGCAAAAAAAAAAAGAGUAACGAGUCCAUCUAUACUACUUGAAGAUAAUUGAUUGUUCACCCAGAUUCGUCAAGUUUUGAAAAAAAAAUCUUUAGAGUGAAUUGAAUCAAAUUCAAAUUUUGUGUUUUGUGAUAAUUCCUAAAAGAGAACGAAAUGCAGAUUUUGAGUGUAAAAAUAUUUUAAGAGGUGAUACAAUCAAGACACAAAAAGAUAAAAACAUCGAAGAUGAUGAAAAAAAUUACUAAUAAAAAAUAAAAACAAAAGAAGAGAAAGCCGUGUUGUCCACAAACUAGACAAAGGGAAGCCACAGCGGCUGCUGCUAGGAAAGAUUAUAUGUUUUCUUCUUCUCUGCCCACAGGUUGCGGUGUCUCCAUUUCCUAUCAUCUGUAUAGUAACCAAUGAGAAUUUCAGGAAUGUGUGCGAUUCUUCUGUAAUCUUCACUUUCUUCCUUCUGAUUCUCUAACAGCUUCUCUCUCAAUUGAGAACUCAUCUCAUACAGAGACAGCCGUUGAAGAUGGAUCAAGUGCUGGAUACCCAAUGGUAACUCCUCUAGUAAUGGAAGUUGCUGCAGAAAUAGUUCCCGGAGACGAGGCAAUGCACCCUCCUCCACUCUCAUCCAUCUCAACCCUUCCAUUCUUUUUAAGUACAUCCACUUCAGCUUUAGGAACCCUCCAGCCUUGAAACACAACCCUUCUCCCUGGUAAGAUCCACGGAAAUUAAUUUUACUCAAAUUGGGCAAAUGUUGGAGGGAUUCAAGCGGAUCCUCCUCUCCCCUUAACCUGCUCCAGUCCAAAUCUAUUCUUACCAAGCCGUGAAGAUGAGCUACCCAUUGUGGCAUUUUUUCUAAGCGGCCACGCAAAACCAGCAUACGAAGAAAUUGAAGAAACAAAGAAGAAGAAGAAGAAGAAGGAUGAUGAUGAUUUAAAUCGAUUAUCUCAUGAUCAUCACCUUUUCCAAUUGAUUGAACACUUAAUUCCCGAAGACUGGUGAGGUUGGCAAGGGAGGAGCAGAGCACCUUUCCAUCUUCUCUUCUUAACUUUGUAAUACGUAGUUCUCUUAAUUGGGUCAGCUUUCCUAUCUCCUUAAGUAUUGCAGAUCCGCUACUUGCAUCUAUGCAGCUUAAUUUAUGUAGGGCAAGAAGCCGUCCCAUAUUUGAUGGAGCUUUAAAUCCAUGAGCUCCAUAAUCAUCAUCUGAAGAAUCAACUAGUUGAUAUACUUCGAGAAACCGAAGUUUUUGCAAGUUUAGAAUUUCCAUGGGCAAUUCCCUAACUCCAGUGUUACCCAAAUUCAGAUACUCCAAAUGUUGAAGCUUUCCAAUGGCUUUCGGGACUAUCUCCAUUCUUGUACCCCAUAGGUCCAGAUGCUUGAGAUGAAACAAAUUGAAAAUCUCAUUUGGUAUUUCCUCCACUCUGUUUUGACCACCGAAAUCCAAAACCUUUAACAGCUUACUACUCCUUGAAAUUUCAGAUAACAACAUUUUGGAUAGUAGCGGGUUCCGGGAUCCAACUGUAACGAACGACCGAAGGUGGUCAAAGCAAUAAUUUCGUCUUUGUUGGUGGUGCUGGGUGUUGUUACUGCUACCACUAUGGACU
rnacentral:lncRNA from 1 species